UUUUUAUUUUUUUUUGUAAUAUUUUGGUAAAAAACCCAUAGAUAAAUAAGAUUCCAAAGUUUGUAUGGUAAUACUGCUACAGUUAUUAGUUGUUAUUUAAUUAUCUAACAUGGUUUGAUUAAUGAUUAUUAAAUGUAUGUAUUAUAAAUAGUUGUAAAUAUUAUUUGUGAAUUGAGAUUAUUGAAUAUCUUAAAUAGUUGAAUAGAAGUAAUGAAUAUGAGUCUAGAAAGUAAUUAAAUGGAUCGUUCGAUAUAUAUAUUUGAGUCGAUGAACGUAGGAUAGGAUAUAAUUGGCAUGUCAAUAGGUUAUAUCGCGCACUGUAUAGGAGUGAUUGGUGGUGAAAUGAUGAUUUCUGAUUUAUUAUUGUCUAUUGAAUAUAUCAAACUCUAGCAUUUGUUACAGACUAUCAUGUCAUAUUGCAGUGAUUCAGGUGUGUUAUCGGGGGCAAAUGUAAAGCCUUUGGGUUUGGCACUCAGUACCUAGGUGUGUUUCGGAGGGAUGUUAGCCUAUGGGCUUGGCACUUGAUGUCCAGGUGUGUCCUCGGUUGAUUAGCUCAUUUGAGUGUUCUGGUGUGUUCUAGAUGGUUAAUCGUGUAUCCGGAUUUGUUAUAUUGUUCAUCGAGUAUAUUAGUACUUUAAGUGGUUAUAUGAUUUUCUAAUUAGUUAAUAUGAAUUGAUAAUGUAUGAUCUAGUUCAAUUGAGUUGAUUAUCUAUUAUGAGUAUUGAUAGUAAGACUCACAUGUUAAAUGAUUGUGAUUGACAGCAUUUUAGUUUAACUAAUAGUGUGUGAUUUCCUGACAUAUAUUGAUGACCCCCACUCAACUUUCUCUUAUUUGAUAAGGGUGAACAAAUUGGAUAUCCCCAAAAGUCCUCCCUUAUUGUCCUUCAUCCAACUCCAUCUCUAUCCUAAUCUCAUCCCUCGAAUAAUCCCUCAGCCAUCUACUAGCAACCGGCGUCGCUUUUCAUGGUGGAGCUCUUAGAGAAUAUCCCAACCAAACACCACCUCCUGUGAUCCCUCCGUCAAUCUAACUGGACAAAAACCUUCUCUGUAACCCAACCUACCACAUAAAAAACAAAACAAAGUGAUCUUCUCAUAUUGAAACAUUGCGUACGUUGAUCUAUUCUGCUAAAAAAACAACACGCUUCUUCCUCUUCAACGAAAUCUGAGCAUCCAAUAUAACCUUAAUAAACAUAAACUUCUUCACACCUUUCAUCACUAACGCAACAUCAUACUUCAGGAUUUGGCUAAUGAAGUUUCCAAAUUGUCACGCCAUUCCUUUUGACAUGAAACUCAUCGGUAAAUUAUGAACUUGCAACCAAAAUAUGGCAUAAAUGAAAGGAACUUGUAAAAGAUCCUCUCCCUUCACUCUUAUAUAAAAAACAAUAAGGUGUUUAUUAAAAAACCAGGGAAUUCCAUCCAUUACCCUUUAUAGAUCUACCUCAUUAAAAAAAUCGAAACAAGACAUAACUUUUCCCCGAUCUCCGUAAUGGACACUCCUCCAAACGGUUGCCAUAGAUCUACCAAAAUGUUCCUCAUCGAUGGGAAAUGUACCAUGCUAUCCAUUAACACUCGCCUUACCAAACACAAGCUAUAAUGUUAUGAACCUAAGUGCUGCUGAGGGCUCUGCUUGGGAAUACGCAGCCCAAAGGACCCAAAAGGUGAGAAGAAGCUCUCGCAUGAGGCACUUGCCUAAGCAAUAUAAUGACUUCAUACCAGUAUAACACAUGGGUAAAUGAUGGGCGAACAGAGAAUAUUGGUGCACACACUCGGAGGAAGAUUUUCUAUAAAAUGAUUACCUUGGCAGGGAAUGGGGGAUUAUUGUUUUUUUUAUUAUGAAAAUCGUUGUUCUUUCUCUCAUCUCAACCUCUUCUCUCUGAGCUUCUUCAUAUUUAUCCUUUUUCUUUUAAAAGAACUUGUACGUUCCCUUCAUUAAAUACAGAAUCUACUCUAUUUUUACCUUCAGAACUGUCAUUUGAGAAUUUAUAAUUCCCCUGCUCUUAACAUUGGAACUUUUAUUGAGUCUCUACAAAUAUGGUAGAGUAUCAGACCCGACUUCGCGUUUUGGACGACAACAUCAAAUCAUUGACCGAGUCUCAGAAUUCACUUUUCACUACUCAGAACGCUCUCCGUCGAGACUUCAAUCUCCUUGUUGCCUCUUUCGAUGAGCAAAAGGCCUUGCUCCGUGAAUUGGCCAAUCAACGCACUUCUUCUCAGUUUUUAAGUUCGGCACCUUCUCCACUUUCUAACUCUCAACCUCCAUUGGGACUACAUAAACCAGCCUCCGUUCAACUGGCCCGGUUCUCCGGUAUCAACCCUGACCGUUGGCUAAUGCAAGCCGAUCGAUACUUCACUUUUUACAACAUCAGAGAUGAAGACCGCGUAACUAUUGCCUCCUUUUAAUUCGACGAGGUUGCUUUCGAUUGGUAUGAUUGUUGUUCCGUAAUCGUCAGCUUGCUGGUUGGCAGGCGUUCUCGGCGUCGCUCCUCGCCCGUUUCUGUUCUCGCGAUUUGGAAGAGCCAGAAGGUUUCUUUGCUAAACUGCACCAAAUAACUUCUGUGAGUGCCUAUCUUUCAGAAAUUGAGGUUGUUACCAAUUAAGCUAUCUGUUUGUCGGCCCACUUCUUGGUCCAGUGCUUCAUUUCUAGGCUUCACUCCGACAUCAAGCACUUCGUGCUCAUCUAUCGGCCCAGAACUUUAGAUGAUGUUAUGCAGUUGGCCCAACUUCAUGAGAGAUGCAUUGGUCUGGAAAAAUCCCCUACUAGACCUAUUCCAACCCUCAGUACCACUAAGCCUCUCCUUCCCACUCAUUCCCUUUCCCCAAAAAUUAACCCCACUAUUUCGCAACCUCCUCCAACCCAAUCUACAACCACUUUACCCGUUUGCUGUCUUAUCCCAUCGGAGGCUGCCCAACGGUGAUCCCAAGGAUUAUGCUAUCCUUGUGAUGAGAAAUAUUCCUGGGAUAAUAAAUGCAAGUCUAAACAUCAGCUUUUAUUACUUGAGAAUGAUUUGGAGCCCACACACGGCCCCGGUCCUGACUUCUCUUCAAUGGAUUUGUCUUCUCCAAUGUAGUCCGCCAUAUCUUACAGUGCACUCGUCGGUGGCUGCGCUGUUUUGACGCUCCGAUUUCAAGGUUCGGUGUUUGAGAAACCUGUGCAAGUGUUAUUAGAUGGAGGUAGCACUCAUAACUUCGUUCAAACACGCGUCGCGUCCUAUUUGAAUUUGACAGUCACCACCACUCCCAGUUUUUCUGUUUUAGUGGUGAGUGCCUCCCUUGCAAUGGCAUCGUUCAACAAGUUCCCUUGGUUAUCCAAAAUUAGGAGAUUCUUAUUGAUUUUUUCGUUCUUCCUAUUCAAUGAUGGGACAUGGUCUUGGGAGUCGAAUGGUUAGUGAAGCUGGAACUAGUACUUACAGAUUACUCUUCAUCAAUUUUUGAGUUUUCUUAUGCCAGCCAGAAGGUUCGAUGGACGGGUGAUGGACUCCCUCUGUUCAACUUAUACAGUUCAAUGGGCUUCGCCGAUUGACUCACAAUAAUUCUGUGGCUGAGUUUUUUAGGUUAGAUCUCAUGUCCAAGCCUAAUUAUCAAUCUGAAGUUGUGGCACCUGAAAUUGAUGCAUUAUUGACUAAGUUUGCUGAUGUGUUUUUCAAACCGACGGGACUACCUCAGGUGAGAGCCUGUGAUCACGCUAUUCAUCUAGCCUCGAAUUGUGGUCCAAUGAAUGUUAAGCCUUAUCGAUAUCCACACUUUCAGAAACGAGAAAUAAAGUGGUUGGUUUUAGAAAUGUUGUGUAACACCCCUUACCCGAGACCGUCGCCGGAAUCGAGUACGAGAUGUCAUCCAAUUUAACUUACCGAUUCGGAGCAGAAAAAUUUACUUUGAAAAUUGAUUUCACUGUUUACAGUAAUCUGCCCAAUCGCGCAGCAGUUACUAAAUUGAUUAUAACUCGAGCUACGGGACUCGAAAUUUAAUUCCGUAAAUUUUCCCUGAAACUAGACUCAUAUUUCUACUUACCAAAAUUUUUUCAGAAUUUUUGACUUAGCCAAUUAGUACAGUUUAUUCAUUAAAGUAUCCCCAGUUUCACAGCUCGACAGAUCUGACCUCUUGGCACUAAAAAUCAAUUUUCUCAUUAUAGGAUUUUCAUAUGAUAUUACCACUUGUUUCUACAGAAAAUAGACUCAAUAAGGAUUCUACACAUAUAAACUAAAACUCAUAAAUAUUUUUAUACCAUUUUUAGUGAUUUUCUAAACUCAGAACAGGGGACUUCAAAAAACCAUUCUGACCCUAUCUCACUAAAAUUCAAAUAUCUCAAAAUAUAGAAUUCCUUUGCCUACGCCGUUUCUUUCAUGUAAAAAUAGACUUGAUAAGAUUUAAUUCUAUAUAUCAUUCACUCUAUAAUUCCAUAUCUACUAUUUAUGGUGAUUUUUCACAUUCACGUCACUGCUGCUGUCAAAGAAACUGCUUCUAUGUAUUAGCUACCAUUUACACAUACAUAACACCAAAACAUAAUCUUUACUAACCAUAUCAUAUGAACAUACUCAAAAUGAUUAAGACUCUAUACAUGCCAUAGUUUAAACAUUUUGAAAAACACAUAAUACCGAGACGAUUAUGAUAGUGUGAUACGAGCUCUGACGAUCCCCACUUCGAUCAAGUUCAAAUCACUAUAAAACAAAGGAAAAGAAGAAAGGUGUAAGUUACUAAUAGCUUAGUAAGUUACAUGUAAAUAAUAGGUACUCAUUUAACAAUUAACACUUUUAACAUAUAACUAAUCAAAACAUUUCUUAGCAAUUUCAAUCACUUACACAUGCACAAUCUUACCAAUUCACUUGCAUAUAUAUUUUUACAUUUAACAUUUAUCACAUAUGCUCAAUUCUUUCAAUUGUACCUGCAUACACACUUCAUUUCAUAUUCACUUUAACCCAUCAUUAAUCCCGUUGAACACUCGGAAUAUACACAGAUACAUAGAGAUUUAGCACAUAAGUGCAACACUGAUAUGUAGCCGAAGCUACCACUGUUAUGUAGCCGAAGCUACCACUGAUCAAUAACACUGGAAAUGUCCACGGGCCUGCUCACACAAGCUGUCAGGUGUCUGCAACACAUGCUAGAUCACCCAGCACCCGGGACUCACUGUAACACUGUAACACUGAUCUCUAGUGACAUGUCACUUGUCUCCACUUCUAUUCCUAAGUUCAACCGGGAAUUUAUACUUAACACUUUAUUUUCAACACUUUAUCACUUGAAUAAUUCAUGAAUAAUUUUCGUUCCACAUUGAAUAUUAAUUCACAUAUCAAAAAUAAUUCACAAUUUAUAAAAAUAUAACUAUUAUUUACACGUAACUUACCUCGGAUGCAAAACGACUAUUUUUGUAAUUUAGUCGAUAACUUUCUCUUUUCCCCGACCACUUCCACUAUUUCUUCUUUCUUGAUCUAUAUUAACAUAAUUUAAUACAUUUUAUCAACAUUUCAUUCAAAUACAAUUCAUACACAACAUUUUGGCAAAUUUACAUUUUUCCCCCAAACUUUUCAAAAAUUCCACUUUUGUCCCUAAGCUCGUAAAAAUAAAAUUCACUAAAUUUUUAAAUUUCAAACUUCACUAAAUCAUAUUUCAUGCUCAUAACAGCCCUCAAUUUCACAAAAUCACAACUUUAUGCACACUUUACCAUCUUUCACAAUUUAGCCCUUUUUCAACAUUUUCAUCAAAAUUCAUCUAGUAAAACUUGUAAUUAACACUUCAAACAUUCAUUAUCUAACAUCACUAAUCAAUUUACAAUUAUAUCAUGAAUGGGUCAAUUUCUAAACUUUAAUUUCAUUUAAAUUAAAUGGUAGAAACAUGAAAUUCAAGCUUCAAUAAGCAUAAAAAUACGAAAAUAAUUAAAAACGGGGCAAGAAAUCACUUACAAUUGAGCUUAGGAAGUUCAAGAACCCUAGCUAUGGUGAUAUGAAUUUUUUUGGCAGCAAAUGUCUGAUUUUAAGAAGAUGAACACUUGUUUUCAUCUUUAUUUUAUCUUUUAUUCAAUUUGGACAAAAAUGCCCUUGACCCAUUACUUAGAUAUUUUUCUAGAAAUACCCUUUUGUGUCCAUAACACUAAUUCAUGGUCUAAUUGCCACAUAAACACUUCCAAUUUCAUGCAAUAAUUCAAUUAAGUCAUUUAAUCACUAAUUAGACACACUUUGCAUUUUUCUCAAUUUAGUCCUAAAAAUUCAAUUAAGCACUAAAGCAUUAAAAUUUUCUAUCCAUAUUUUCACACAAUAUUUCAAUCAAUCAGAACUAAUAAAAAUUUAUAAAAUAAAACUAUUUCACUUUGGAUUUGUGGUUACGAAACCACUAUUCCGAUUAGGCCCUAUUUCGGGCUAUCACAUGUUGGCUGAUGCUAUAAUCCAGCCAAGUACAAGUCUUUUUUCCUCGCCAGUGUUGUUAGUACGUAAGAAGGAUGGCUCGUGGCGCUUUUGUGUUGAUUACCAGAUCCUCAAUGCCGUGACUGUCAAAGAUCGAUUUCUGAUUUCGUCCAUCGAUGAGUUAUUCAAUGAACUUCAUGGGGCUAUGUAUUUCUCCAAGCUUGAUUUGUUGGCUGGAUUCCAUCAAAUUCGAGUUAGAGCCGAGGAUGAAAGCAAGACCGCUUUUAGGACUCACGACGGGCACUAUGAGUUCCUUGUCAUGCCGUUUGGGCUAACAAACUCACCGUCUACCUUUCAAAGUCUUAUGAAUUCGAUUUUCGUUUGUACCUCCACAAGUUUGUGUUGGUUUUCUUUGACGACAUUUUGAUCUAUAGUCAGGAUUGGGAAACGCAUUUGGAACAUAUCAGGGUUGUUUUUCUUCUCCUCCGUGAGUACAAGUGUAAUAGCCCGAUUUUAGGCUUAGUCGGAACAGUGGUUUCGAGACCACAAAUCCGACGAAAAAAAUGUAAUGGCUUGAAUUUUCAGAUGUGUCGGAACGGUGAUUCGAGAUCACUAAAUUCGACAAAUGGGUAGAAAAUAUUAUUAAUUUAGUAAGUAUAAGUUAAAUAUGAAGUUAGGAAAAUUUUUGAAAUGGUGAAUAGUGCACUAGAAAUAAAUAUUAAAAUAAUUAGAAUCGAAAUGAGGUAUCAAGACCUCGGGGAUUUUAAACUGAGCCAUAAAUAUUUUUAUAAAUAUUUAUGGAGUGUUAAAAAGUUAGUAUUAAAGUUUCGUUAAGAAAUUUUAAAGUUCCGAUAAUUAAUUGAACAAAAAGGACUAAAUUGUAACAAAUGCAAAAUUUUGGGAAAUGAUUAAAUAGCUUAAAUGAUAAAAGGAAGAGGGCUUAAAAAGCAAAUAGACCCAAGGUCUAUUUGGGCUGGACGGCAGAGGCAUGAAAUCAGCAAGAAAGUAAGGAGAAUUAAGGGCAAAAUUGAAAAAUUGCAAAAUUUGCUUAAUAAAGUUAGGACCCAAGUGGAAUUAUCUAGAUUUCUCUUCAUUUUUCUGAAUUCUCAUCAGCUAAAACACCAUGGAAGGGCUUCUUCAAGCUGGUUCUUCAUAUUUUUAUUACAAGUAAGUUCAAUUCUUGACUAUUUCUUGAAAUUUUUGUAUUUUUAUGACUUUUACAACUAGGCCCACUUGUUAAAUUCAUUAGUUUUUGAUUUUAUGAAAGAAGUUGAAAGUUGAUAUGAAUAUGUUCUGGAAGUAUAUGAUGAUUUAGCAUGAAAUUAGAGUUUUAAAUUGUUCAUAUGCUGAUUUUAUUGAAAGAAUUGAAUAGAAAGUGAAUGUUUGGGACCUAAUAGUAAAAGAGUUUGAAGAUAGAGUUAUAUGUGGAAAUUCUGAAUUUCAAUAGUUGUGUAACAACUUAUAAUGUCUAGUAAAGUACUAAUUGAAAAAAUUAGAUUAAUUGAGGGGUUAAUUGAGAAAGGACCGAAUUGUAUAAACUGUGAAAUUUGGGGCAAAAUGGAAAUCAACAUUUUGCACUAAAGCAGUUUUGGACAGCAGCAGUAGUGUAACUUUGAAAAAUCACCAAAAAUUGUAGAGAUUGAAUUAGAGGAUGAAUAAAAUAUGAAAUUAAAGCUUAUUGAGUCUAGUUUCUUAUAAAAGAAAUGAUGUGAGCAAUGGAAUUGUAAAUCAUGAGAUAUAACAGAUUUUGUGAGACAAGGUCAGAAUGAAUUCGGGUUCCCCUGUUCUGACUUUGGAAAAUCAUUAAAAAUUGUACAGAAAUUAUUAUGAGUUAUAGUUUAUAUGGUUAGAAUCCUUAAUGAGUCUAUUUUUAGAAGAAACAAGCUAAAAUAUCAUCCGAAUUCUGUAAAAUGAGAUAAUUAAUUUUUAGUGAAGAGUGGUCGGAACUGUCAGACAGCGAAAAAGGGGAAACUUUAAAGAAUAAAAUGUACUAUUUGGCUGAACCAAAAAUUAUGAAAAUUUUAUGGUAUGAAUAUAUGUGAGUCUAGUUUCAGGGAAAAUUAACGGAUCUUAAUUUGGAGCUCUGUAGCUCCGGAUAAAAAUAAUUUAGUGACUCUGACUCGGAUAAACAGCUUUGAAUAUACAUGUUAGUGAAUAUUGAAAUUAUGGUUAAUGUUGUUUAAGUGUGUUAUACACAUUAAGGAUGUGGAAUGGAGAGGAGGAGGAGGAAAAUUGGGAAAUAUAUGAAUGAUUCGUGUAUAAAUGGUCAUAUGUUUGAUUAUAACUCAUAAACGAUGAAAUAUGAAUGAUGCUUAUUUUUGUGCAUUAUUGGUCAUGGUUUAAGCUCAUGUGUGAAAAUAAAGUUUCAUAGUAUGUGUGUAUGGUAUAUUCAGUAUAUGAUUUGGCAUGAAAUAAUACCAUGAAUGGUUUAUGAAUUAACACAUGUUGGUAAGCCUGAUAUAUGAAUAAAUGAUCAAAUUGAGCGGAACGCCGGAUUUGAGUACUUCUGAUCAAGUGAUAAAGUGAUAAGUGAUAGCUUCAGCUACACUUAUCUGAUCAAGUGACAAGUGAAAAGUGAUAAGUGAUAGCUUCGGCUAUACUUAUCUGAUCAAGAGACAAAGUGAUAAGUGGCUACACUUAUCUGAUCAAGAAACAAAGUGAUAAGUGGCUACACUUAUCUGAUCAAGAAACAAAGUGAUAGGUGGCUACACUUAUCUGAUCAGGGACAAGUGAUAAGUGAUCAUACGUAAGACCAUAGUUAUACUAUGGCAAAGUGAAAGUGAAGUACUCAAUUUUCCGUGACCGUUCCCUAAUUUGAUUAAAGAUGGUAAGUGACAAAUGGGCCCAAAAGAAUUAAAGUAAAUGGAUAAGUGGUAGUAUAUUUAUAUCAGGACGAUGUUGUUAUUCAAACUAAAGUGAUAUUUUCAUUGCUAAAUUGAGAAUUUCAUAAAUGUGUUAUUGAAUGGUAUAAUCAAUAAACAUUGAGUUAAAUGGUAAAUACGUAUUAGUUUUGAAUUUGAUGUCAUUGAAUUGUACGUGAAUUAAAUGGGAAUUUCUAGUGAUAUGAUUUAAAUUAUGAGCAUGAGAAAUUGCGAAUUGAAUGAAAUGGAAAUGAAGCAUUAAAUUGCAUGAUUAUGUAUCGGGUCUCACAGGCCCUAAUUAUUAUGAUUAUAAUAUUUUAAGGAUAUAUUGUGAAAAGUUAUAGAAACAUGUUAAUUAUUUUUGAAAAUUUUAAUUUUGAUGAAAUUUUAUAACUCGGUUAAAUACGUUUACAAGUGUAUGUGUUUUGGUAAUGCCUCGUACCCUAUUCCGGUGUUGGAUACGGGUAAGGGGUGUUACAACAAGUUUGUAGCGAAACGUUCUAAAUGUCUAUUUGGUCAUACAAGCAUUGGAUAUUUGGGGCAUAUUAUUUCUCGGCAAGGAGUUCAAGUGGAUCUCGAUAAAAUUAAAGCCAUCCAAUCUUGGCCUAUUCCUCACAACAUCAAAGCUGUUCCUGAUUUUCUCAGUUUGGCAGGGUAUUACCGCAGGUUUAUCUGUCACUUUACUGCAAUUGUCGGUCCCUUGACUGACUUGCUGCGUACAUAUACCCUUCCAAUGUACUCUCUUACCCAUACGGCCCUUGAGCGUUUGAAGUAGCUGCUCAGCGAAGCCCCUAUUCUUGAAUUGCCUGAUUUCAGUAAACCAUUUGUUGUGGAAACAGAUACUUCAGGUACUGGAAUCGGUGCCAUCCUUUCACAAGGUAGUCACCCUAUUGCAUAUUACAGCCACCAGCUUAGCCCUCGCUUGCAACAAUCCUCCACAUAUCAAAGGGAGAUGUAUGCUAUUACGCAAGCAGUUUCCAAGUGGCGCCAAUACCUUUUGGGUAGCCGAUUUACAAUUAUUACUGAUCAUCAAUCUUUUAAGAGUCUUACCUCUCAAGUAAUUCAAACACCGAAUCAACAGAAGUGGUUAGGCAAAUUGAUUGGCUAUGACUUCGACAUCGUUUACCGUCCGGGCCAAAACAACACUGCAGCGGAUGCUGUAACACCCCUAACCUGACUCCGUCGCCGAAUCAGGGUUACGAGGCAUUACGAAACCAAGCUCACAUAAACAUAACUUUAAUAUCUAAUUCCAAAUGCAAGUCCAAUUCAUGAACAUAUAUAAUCAAAUUCAAGCAUGGAGACUAAACUCUUUUCACAUUGCUAUUUACACAAUAGGAUUCAAAACUAACCAAAACAUUAUCAAGCCUAUACAUGCCAUAAGAUCGAGUUCAAAUAUUUAACAAAAUACCAAAAGAAGUCGAUAGUGUGAUGGACUGUGCUGAUGAUCCCCGAGCUCGUAACGCGUCUCCAAAUCUAUAAAAACGAAUGAACGAAAGCAAACGAAGUAAGCUUUUAUAGCUUAGUAAGUCUCCAGCAUAACUAAAUGUAUAAUUAUAAACACAUAAUUAUUAUAACCUUUUUAAUCUAUUCUACUGAAAUUUCAACUAACACAACCAACUAACAUUCAUACAUUAUUCUACUCAGACCAUUUCAUUUAUAGUCAGAUAUGUAUACCUGUCGGAUGAAUUCAGUUUAAUAUAUAUAUUAUACAAAACAACAUUACAAUUGAAUGUAUACCACCGAGCAUAUAUAUACAUAUUAUAUACAUAUCAAACCGAUUGUAUAUAUACACUCAUGGUAAGUUCUAAAUCAAUUCAAAUCUAACACAAAUAUAUGUACAUCAAUCACAUCUUAUAUUUGUUUGUAUAUAAAUAUACUCAUUAUGAAUUUAUACCUGAAUACCUAGGUAACACAUACAUUCGAAAUACACACACAUAUAUAUAUAUAUAUCUCAAAUGCAUACAUGAUUAAUUAUCAAACACAUAGGCUCAACAUAUAUAUGUUUAACUACCACAUAUUACCAUAUGCAUUUAUAAAUUCAGCAAUCACAUAUAUCUAAUGUACAUAUGUAUUCAUCGAUUUCAUAUAAUCACAAAUCAUAGAUAUAUCCAUUGCAUAUUCUAACACAAUUUAAACAGAUUCACCGGCAUUUUGCCUGCUAGGCUUAAAGCCUGAUUCAGUACACCGGCACUUAGCCUGCUAGACAUAUAGUCUGAAAUGUAUCACCGGCAUUAAGCCUGCUAGACUUAAAGUCUGAAAUAUAUCACCGGUAUUAAGCCUGUUAGACUUAAAGUCUGAAAUGUAUCACCGGCAUUAAGCCUGCUAGACUUAAAGUCUGAAAUAUAUCACCGGCAUUAAGCCUGCUAGACUUAAAGUCUGAAAUAUAUCACCGGCAUUAAGCCUGCUAGACUUAAAGUCUGAAAUGUAUCACCGGCAUUAAGCCUGCUAGACUUAAAGUCUGAAUUACUUCACCGGCAUUAAGCCUGCUAGACGUAACGUCCGUAUUACAUUAAAUCACUUUAUAAUAAUUCAAACUAACAAUUUCAUAUCUUCACUACCAUUCAAAAACUUUUACGUGAAUAUACAUACAAAAUCGAAACUUUCACAUACAUAUAUAAUUCCAUACCAAAUUUCGAUUCAAGAAUUUAUACAUGUGCAUUUAUACAUAUUCGAAUCUACCAUAUGAAUGUAUAAUUUCAUACUCAAUUUCAAAACAAAAACUUGUACAUAUAUAAAUGCACAAUCAAUCCUCGCAUACUUAUAUAAUGACAUAACUAAAUUCAAUACACAACACAUACAUGUAUAUUUGCAUGCUUAUUCGACUUUAUAUAUAUAUAUACAUAAAUCCUCGCAUACUUAUAUAAUGACAUAACUAAAUUCAAUACACAACACAUAUAUAAUCAUUCAAACCAUAUAUAUAUAUAUACCUAUAUCUUAUACAUACCUUUGAUUAAUCCAAUAAUUUAUACAAGAUCAUACUUGUAUAUUCGAACAUGUUAUAUACAAUAUCUAUAGUCCAAAGUUUAUUCAACUAUUAUACUUUAAAUUAUAGCUCAAUCAUAAGAUAAAAUUAGUAUGCAUGUAUAAAUAUUAACUUAAUAACUUUUAGUUGCUAAUAGACUUACCUCGGAUAUCAGCAAACACGAUCGACUAUUCGAUUACCUUCGAUUUCCCCCGAUCCAAAUUCGUUUUCUUCGUUCCUUGAUCUUAAUCAAGCUUUAAAAUGGCCGAAUAAUACUUGACUUCCUUUCUUUUUUUCUUUUGCAUGAAUUCGGCUAAGUUAAGAUGAAAACAUUCAUCUUUUCAUCAAUUAUUUUAAUUUUAAUGUUUAAUUUAACAUUUGACUAAAUUAACCUUAUUAUAAUAAAUUUUUAUAACAUAUAUAUUAAGGUCAAUUAUGUCAUAUAUCACCCACUAUCUACUUUAUGGUCUUAUUGCAUCAUAAAUCCUUCCAUUUAAAAAGACAACAACAAUUAGGUGCUUUUAUAAUUAACCCCUAAAUUUUCAUUUUUCGCGAUUUAAUCCUUUUGUUUAAUCGGACACUCAAACAACAAAAUUAAAACACGAAAAUUUCACACAAUCAAAUGCACACAAAAUAAACACACAAAAUAAUAUUAAAAUAUUUUUUUGUCUCGGACUUGUGGUCCCGAAACCACUAUGUCCGAUUAGGGUCAAACCGGGUUGUUACAACUCUCCCCCUUAGGGAUUUUCGUCCUCGAAAAUCUUACCGGUGAAUAGGUUUGGAUAACGCUCUUUCAUUGUAUCUUCUGACUCCCAAGUUGCUUCUUCAACUCCAUGUUUAUGCCACAAUACUUUAACUAACGAAAUUUUCUUAUUUCGUAAUUCCUUGAUCUCACGAGCCAGAAUGCUAAUCGGUUCUUCUUCAUAUGACAUAUCAGGGUUAAUUUCAAUCUCCGUCGGACAAAUCACAUGUGAAGGAUCAGAUCGGUAUCUACGGAGCAUCGAAACAUGAAAUACAUUGUGAAUCUUUUCUAACUCAGGUGGUAACAUCAAUCUAUAAGCAACCGGUCCGACACGUUCUAUAAUCUCAUACGGUCCAAUGAAUCUUGGACUCAAUUUGCCUUUACGACCGAAUCUGAGUACUUUCUUCCACGGUGAGACUUUCAAAAACACUUUAUUGCCGAUCUGAAAUUCUAUAUCUUUUCUUCUCAAAUCCGCAUAAGAUUUCUGACGAUCUGAUGCUGAUUUCAGGCUGUCCCGAAUCACUUUCACUUUCUAUUCGGUCUCUUUAAUCAAAUCAACCCCGUGUAUCCUAUUUUCACUGAGCUCGGUCCAAUACAGUGGUGUACGACAUUUACGACCGUACAAAGCCUCAUAAGGUGCCAUUUUAAUACUAGAUUGAAAGCUGUUAUUAUAAGCAAAUUCAAUCAAAGGUAAAUAUCGUUCCCACGUACCUUCAAACUCGAGAAUGCAACAUCUCAACAUGUCCUCAAGUAUCUGUAUAAUUCGCUCCGAUUGACCAUCUGUUUGCGGAUGGAAAGCUGUGCUAAAAUGUAGUUUCGUACCUAAAGCAUCUUGUAAUUUCUUCCAAAACCGCGAUGUAAAUCUCGGGUCUCUGUCCGAAAUAAUAGAAAUAGGCACUCCGUGCAAUUUUACAAUCUGAGAAAUGUACAAUUCAGCAAGUUUAUCAAGCGAAUAAUCAAUACGAACCGGAAUAAAGUGAGCCGAUUUUGUCAAUCUAUCAACAACAACCCAAAUUGCAUCUUUCUUGCUGGGUGUUAAUGGUAAACCGGAUACAAAAUCCAUCGUAACUCUGUCCCAUUUCCAUUCAGGUAUCAUGAUCGGCUGCAGCAAUCCAGAAGGUACCUGAUGCUCGGCUUUUACUUGCUGACAUAUUAAACAUUUCGAAACAAAGUCAGAAAUGUCUCGUUUCAUUCCAUGCCACCAAUAGUGUUGUUUCAGAUCAUUAUACAUUUUCGUGCUACCCGGAUGAACAGAAAAUCGACUAUUAUGGGCUUCAUUCAAAAUCAUCUGAAUUAACUCUGGAUUUUUCGGAACACAUAAUCGGUUUCUGAAUCUCAAACAAUCCUCAGUAUCAACUAGAAACUCUGAAUCAACAUUUAAGUCACACUGAGUUCGUUUUGCAAUUAAAUCAUCAUCGGCUUUUUGAGCUUCACAAAUCUGUUGAACAAAUAACGGUUUUGCUUUCAACUCAGCUACUAUCGCACCAUCAUCAGACAUAACCAUAUGUGCAUUCAUUGCACGCAAAGCAAACAGUGAUUUUCGACUUAGGGCAUCAGCAACAACAUUAGCCUUUCCCGGAUGAUAGUCAAUCACGAGCUCGUAAUCUUUCAACAAUUCUAACCAUCGACGCUGUCUCAAAUUCAGAUCUUUCUGAGUCAUCAAAUAUUUCAAGCUUUUAUGAUCGGAAUAAACAUGACAUCUUUCGCCAAACAGAUAGUGACGCCAUAUUUUUAACGCAAAUACAAUAGCGGCCAAUUCCAGAUCAUGCGUCGGAUAGUUCUUUUCAUGCGGCUUUAACUGUCUCGAGGCAUAGGCUACAACUUUGCCUUCCUGCAUCAAUACACAGCCCAAACCAUUUAAAGAUGCAUCACUAUAGAUAACAAACUCUUUACCCGAUUCGGGUUGAACUAGGACUGGAGCUUUGGUUAAAAGAGCUUUCAACUGAUCGAAACUUUUCUGGCACUUUUCUGACCACUCAAACUUAACGUCUUUUUGUAGUAGCCUUGUCAUCGGGGUCGCAAUCAUAGAGAACCCUUUCACAAAACGUCUAUAAUAGCCAGCGAGCCCCAGAAAGCUUCGAACUUCCGAAACAUUCCUCGGAGGUUUCCAAUCAAGUAUAGCUGAAAUUUUAUUCGGAUCAACCCAAAUACCCGAUGCUGAUACAACAUGGCCCAGAAAACUGACUUCACGUAACCAGAACUCACAUUUACUAAACUUUGCAUACAACUGCUUAUCUCGCAAAGUUUGUAACACAAGUCUCAGAUGUUCAGCAUGCUCAUUUUCGUCUCGAGAGUAGAUCAAAAUGUCAUCAAUAAAUACUACCACAAACCGAUCCAGAUACUUCCUAAAGAUCCGAUUCAUCAAAUCCAUGAAAAUAGCAGGUGCAUUAGUAAGUCCGAAAGGCAUAACAAGAAACUCAUAAUGUCCGUACCUCGUUCGGAAAGCAGUCUUUGGCACAUCAGAGUCUUUAACUCGCAACUGAUAGUAGCCUGAUCUCAGAUCUAUCUUUGAAAACACAGUAGCCCCUUUCAACUGAUCGAACAAAUCAUCAAUCCGUGGUAACGGAUACUUAUUCUUUAUAGUCACUUUAUUGAGUUGCCGGUAAUCAAUGCACAUUCUCAUCGUUCCGUCUUUCUUUCUCACAAAUAGAACUGGUGCACCCCAAGGAGAGAAACUCGGUCGUGCAAAACCUUUAUCAGUCAGCUCUUGCAACUGUACUUUCAAUUCUUUUAAUUCGGUCGGUGCCAUACGGUACGGAGCUAUCGAUAUGGGAGUCGUCCCUGGUACUAACUCAAUACCAAACUCUACCUCUCGAAUAGGUGGCAAACCCGGUAAUUCUUCGGGAAACACGUCUGAAUACUCACACACUACUGGUACAGAUUCAAUCUUCUUUUCGGUCACUUUACUAUCAAGAACAAAUGCAAGGUAAGCUUCACAACCCCUUCUCACAUACUUCUGAGCCGACAUCGAGGAUAUUAUUGCUGAUAAACCAUUCAGAUCAUUAGAUUCGAUCCGAAUAAUCUCAUCAUUCUGACACCGUAGAUCAAUAGUUUUCCGUUUGCAGUUUACAAUAGCAUCAUGCAGAGUUAACCAAUCCAUACCCAGAAUUAUAUCGAACUCGUCGAAUGGUAACAACAUCAAAUCAGCUGGAAAACAUAAAUCUCGAAUCAUCAACGGACAAUUCUUGCACACUUUGUCAACCAAAACACACAGGCCCAGGGGGUUCGAUACUUUAAUUACAAACUCAGUAGACUCAACAGGCAAAGUCUUACUGAAUACUAAAGUCUCACACACAUAAGAAUGAGUCGAACCAGGAUCAAUCAAUGCAAUAACAUUAGUAUCAUAAAGAGUGAAAGUACCAGUAAUAACAUCUGGAGAAGAAGCCUCCUCUCGAGCACGGAUGGCAUAAGCUCUGGCAGGUGCACGGGCCUCAGAUCGAAUUGCUGUGUCCCUGGUUCCUCUCUGACUACCACUUACAUUACUCAAUUGUCUCGGUGGUCUACCUCGGACUGGCACAUUACUCGGUCUGGUAUCCUGCACAGUGUUUUGCUCAGCUACCAUCGGACACUCUCGAAUGAAAUGAUCUUUUGAACCACACUUGAAGCAAGACCGAUCAUGGAAUCUGCAAUCCCCAGGAUGCCAUUUCCCACAAUACUUGCACUCUGAUCUAUUUUGUCGAACACUACCAACGCUAGCAACUGAAGUAGCUCGUGAACUCACAGGGGGUCGAUCUCGAUCAUACUUAGGAAACCCUGCAGUAGCUUUAGAUUGGCUAUGAUCCGCUCUGAAUUUCCUUGAGGUCGACUGAAAUGAUUUACUGAAUGAUCUUUUACGAGAAUCUCGAGCUUCAUAGUCAGCUUUCCUCUUCUCUUUCCCGAGCUCCUCAGCUUUACAAGCUCGUUCAACAAGUACUACGAACUCUUUUAUCUCAAGUAUACCAACUAACAGUUUAAUAUCUUCAUUCAGCCCAUCUUCAAAUCUUCUACACAUGAUAGCUUCAGUUGAAACACACUCUCGAGCAUAUCUACUAAGUCUCACAAAUUUCCGUUCAUAUUCUGUCACUGUCAUACGACCCUGUUUCAGUUCAAGAAAUUCCUUACGUUUCUGAUCAAUAAAUCUCUGGCUGAUAUAUUUCUUACGAAACUCAGUCUGAAAGAAUUCCCAGGUCACUCGCUCUUUCGGAACCACCGAUACUAGUGUAUUCCACCAGUGAUAUGCAGUGUCCCGUAGCAAGGAUAUGGCACAUUUCAAGCACUCAUCAGGGGUGCAAGACAACUCAUCAAACACUCGAAUAGUAUUAUCAAGCCAGAAUUCAGCUCGCUCAGCAUCAUCAUCAUCAGUAGCUCUGAACUCUUCGGCCCCGUGUUUUCGAAUUUUGUCAACCGGAGGCUUAAGUAAUCUCAUCGGAUCACUUACUUGGGGUAUAACAGGAAUCGAAGAUGGAUUAGUCGGGGGUGGAGGUUGUUGUGUAACCGGAUUAGUUCGGACAUAAUGAGUAAACCAGUCAUUCAUCAUUUGGUAGAAGGCUUGUUUAGCCUCUCCCUCCUUGUUACUCGAGAUUGGUCGAGAAUCUACUGGCUCUGUCCCUUGCGCGGGAGCAGGCGCUAUACUCUCAACAUCAUCAGCUACGGCUCGUUCGGGAUCCAUUACUAUACGAAAACACAUUUUUAGACGUCAGCAGUCAUCACACUAUCUCGAUAUAAAAAUAUGGCAUGUAUAGCUAGACUCAUACACGCUACGCUAGUUUCGAGAAUCGACUAAACCAUAGCUCUGAUACCAAUAAAAUGUAACACCCUUAACCUGACUCCGUCGCCGAAUCAGGGUUACGAGGCAUUACGAAACCAAGCUCACAUAAACAUAACUUUAAUAUCUAAUUCCAAAUGCAAGUCCAAUUCAUGAACAUAUAUAAUCAAAUUCAAGCAUGGAGACUAAACUCUUUUCACAUUGCUAUUUACACAAUAGGAUUCAAAACUAACCAAAACAUUAUCAAGCCUAUACAUGCCAUAAGAUCGAGUUCAAAUAUUUAACAAAAUACCAAAAGAAGUCGAUAGUGUGAUGGACUGUGCUGAUGAUCCCCGAGCUCGUAACGCGUCUCCAAAUCUAUAAAAACGAAUGAACGAAAGCAAACGAAGUAAGCUUUUAUAGCUUAGUAAGUCUCCAGCAUAACUAAAUGUAUAAUUAUAAACACAUAAUUAUUAUAACCUUUUUAAUCUAUUCUACUGAAAUUUCAACUAACACAACCAACUAACAUUCAUACAUUAUUCUACUCAGACCAUUUCAUUUAUAGUCAGAUAUGUAUACCUGUCGGAUGAAUUCAGUUUAAUAUAUAUAUUAUACAAAACAACAUUACAAUUGAAUGUAUACCACCGAGCAUAUAUAUAUACAUAUUAUAUACAUAUCAAACCGAUUGUAUAUAUACACUCAUGGUAAGUUCUAAAUCAAUUCAAAUCUAACACAAAUAUAUGUACAUCAAUCACAUCUUAUAUUUGUUUGUAUAUAAAUAUACUCAUUAUGAAUUUAUACCUGAAUACCUAGGUAACACAUACAUUCGAAAUACACACAUAUAUAUAUAUAUAUAUAUCUCAAAUGCAUACAUGAUUAAUUAUCAAACACAUAGGCUCAACAUAUAUAUGUUUAACUACCACAUAUUACCAUAUGCAUUUAUAAAUUCAGCAAUCACAUAUAUCUAAUGUACAUAUGUAUUCAUCGAUUUCAUAUAAUCACAAAUCAUAGAUAUAUCCAUAGCAUAUUCUAACACAAUUUAAACAGAUUCACCGGCAUUUUGCCUGCUAGGCUUAAAGCCUGAUUCAGUACACCGACACUUAGCCUGCUAGACAUAUAGUCUGAAAUGUAUCACCGGCAUUAAGCCUGCUAGACUUAAAGUCUGAAAUAUAUCACCGGCAUUAAGCCUGUUAGACUUAAAGUCUGAAAUGUAUCACCGGCAUUAAGCCUGCUAGACUUAAAGUCUGAAAUAUAUCACCGGCAUUAAGCCUGCUAGACUUAAAGUCUGAAAUAUAUCACCGGCAUUAAGCCUGCUAGACUUAAAGUCUGAAAUGUAUCACCGGCAUUAAGCCUGCUAGACUUAAAGUCUGAAUUACUUCACCGGCAUUAAGCCUGCUAGACGUAACGUCCGUAUUACAUUAAAUCACUUUAUAAUAAUUCAAACUAACAAUUUCAUAUCUUCACUACCAUUCAAAAAAUUUUACGUGAAUAUACAUACAAAAUCGAAACUUUCACAUACAUAUAUAAUUCCAUACCAAAUUUCGAUUCAAGAAUUUAUACAUGUGCAUUUAUACAUAUUCGAAUCUACCAUAUGAAUGUAUAAUUUCAUACUCAAUUUCAAAACAAAAACUUGUACAUAUAUAAAUGCACAAUCAAUCCUCGCAUACUUAUAUAAUGACAUAACUAAAUUCAAUACACAACACAUACAUGUAUAUUUGCAUGCUUAUUCGACUUUAUAUAUAUAUACAUAAAUCCUCGCAUACUUAUAUAAUGACAUAACUAAAUUCAAUACACAACACAUAUAUAAUCAUUCAAACCAUAUAUAUAUAUAUAUACCUAUAUCUUAUACAUACCUUUGAUUAAUCCAAUAAUUUAUACAAGAUCAUACUUGUAUAUUCGAACAUGUUAUAUACAAUAUCUAUAGUCCAAAGUUUAUUCAACUAUUAUACUUUAAAUUAUAGCUCAAUCAUAAGAUAAAAUUAGUAUGCAUGUAUAAAUAUUAACUUAAUAACUUUUAGUUGCUAAUAGACUUACCUCGGAUAUCAGCAAACACGAUCGACUAUUCGAUUACCUUCGAUUUCCCCCGAUCCAAAUUCGUUUUCUUCGUUCCUUGAUCUUAAUCAAGCUUUAAAAUGGCCGAAUAAUACUUGACUUCCUUUCUUUUUUUCUUUUGCAUGAAUUCGGCUAAGUUAAGAUGAAAACAUUCAUCUUUUCAUCAAUUAUUUUAAUUUUAAUGUUUAAUUUAACAUUUGACUAAAUUAACCUUAUUAUAAUAAAUUUUUAUAACAUAUAUAUUAAGGUCAAUUAUGUCAUAUAUCACCCACUAUCUACUUUAUGGUCUUAUUGCAUCAUAAAUCCUUCCAUUUAAAAAGACAACAACAAUUAGGUGCUUUUAUAAUUAACCCCUAAAUUUUCAUUUUUCGCGAUUUAAUCCUUUUGUUUAAUCGGACACUCAAACAACAAAAUUAAAACACGAAAAUUUCACACAAUCAAAUGCACACAAAAUAAACACACAAAAUAAUAUUAAAAUAUUUUUUUGUCUCGGACUUGUGGUCCCGAAACCACUAUGUCCGAUUAGGGUCAAACCGGGUUGUUACAGAUGCCUAGUCUCGGGUUCCUGCUGCUCAAUUCUUGGCCCUUUCUCAUGUUUAGUUCUCUAUCGGUGAUCAGCUCCGAGAGGCCAAUGCUGUUCACACUGAGCUGCUUGCUUUGCAGCAACGUUUAGCCACUGAUCCAACCUCUUUACCUGGAUUUUUGUUCAAAGACAAGCUAUUGUACUUUAACUAUCGGUUGGUGCUACCUUUUGAUUCUCCACUCCGCACUUCUCUGUUAACUAAGUUCCAUUCGUCCCCUAUUGGUGGCCACUCAGGCAUCACUUGCACGUUUCAUCGCCUUACUACAAAUUUUUAUUGGAAACAUAUGCGUCGAGAUGUCACCCAAUUCGUCCGCUCUUGCCAAAUUUGUCAACAAAUAAAGUCUGCCACAAUUUCUCCAGCCGACCUCCUUCAACCUCUCCCGAUCCUGAGUUUGGUCUUUAAAAAUGUUUCCAUAGAUUUUAUCAUCGGGCUACCACCUUCAAAGGGAAAAACAGUGGUUAUGGUUGUCGUUGAUCGACUUUCGAAGUAUGGGCAUUUUGUGGGUUUACCAACUCAUUUUUCUAGUCAAAUGGUUGCUUCUGCCUUUGUGCAAGAAGUAAUGCGGCUACACGGCAUCCCUACGAAAAUUGUCUCGGACCGUGACCCUCGUUUCUUCAGUAGCUUUUGGAAAGAAGUACAUCGUCUCCAAGGCACGACACUGCGUAUAAGCACCGCAUACCAUCCAUAAUCCGAUGGCCAAACGGAGGCCUUCAACCGAUGCUUAGAUAUGUAUUUGCGUUGCUAUGCCUCGAACCACCCUUCCUCUUGGAUGUUAUUCUUACCUUGGGCCGAAUAUUGGUACAACACAUCGUACCAAACGGCUGCGCAAAUGACACCUUUUGAAGUGUUGUAUGGUUGCCCCCACCUACAGUGGCACGGUAUGUUAAGGAUGACAGCGGCCACCCUCUUGUUUAUGCUCAGUUACUCGAACGAGACCUUGUUUUACAACAGCUCAAAAUAAAUCUAACCCAAGCUUAGGCUCGGAUGAAGUUUUAUGCUGAUCAACAUUGCCGAGAUAUCAGUUUCAAUGUUGGGGACUAGUUAUACGUUAAGUUGCAACCUUAUCAUCAGUCUUCUAUACGGUUGCAGCGCCAUUCAAAGCUCGUUCGCUGAUAUUUUGGUCUAUAUCAAGUCCUCAAACGAGUUGGUCCAGUAGCAUACGAGUUCGAUCUGCCCUCCACGGCUCGUAUCCAUCUCGUAUUUCACGUUUCUAUGCUCAAGAAAUGCCUCGGACACCCUGACCAGCAAGUCACUCAUUUGGACUUGGUCGACUCCACCAGCUUUAUUAAUUUGCACCUUGUUGCAGUCUUAGAUCAUAGGCAAGUGCAACGAGGGUCUGCCACCGUGAACUAGUGCUUAAUCCAAUGUAAUGGUCUGACCAUUGACGAUGCUACUUGGGAAGAUAAAGAGAAGUUGCACCAGUUUUAUCUUGCUUUCAACCUUGAGGAUAAGGUUUAUCUCGAUGAGGUGGGUACUGUUAUGAACCCAAAUGCUGUUGAGGGCUCUGCUUGGGAAUAUGCAACCCAAAGGACCCAAGAGGUGAGAAGAAGCUCUCGCAUGAGGCACUUGCCUAAGCAAUAUAAUGACUUCAUAACAGUAUGACAUGAGGGCAAAUGAUGGGCGAAUAGAGAAUAUUGGUGCACACACUCGGAGGAAGAUUUUCUACAAAAUGAUUGCCUUGGCAGGGAAUGAGGGAUUAUUGUUUUUCUGUUAUGAAAAUCGUUGUUCUUUCUCUCAUCUCAACCUCUUUUCUCUGAGCUUCUUCAUAUUUUUCCUUUUUCUUUUAAAAGAACUUGUAUGUUCCCUUCAUUAAAUGCCGAAUCUACUCUAUUUUUACCUUCAGAACUGUCAUUUGAGAAUUUAUAAUUCCGCUGCUAUAAUCCUCCUCAACCACAUCUUCAUUUCCUAGAGCUUGUACCGGCUUUUCCUCUUCGUCGACUAUAUUGAGAUUUGUCAUUUCUUCUUCCAUCAUUCCACACAGCAAAACCUCCACGCCCCCACUAAACUCUAGAAAAAACUUAACUAGUAGAAACACCACAUAAACGUGCUAUCAAGCAGACAGAGAGAACAACCAGACGUGCUACAAGGCAGGCUCUUAACAAUCUUAUAAUACUUGAAUCAUAUAAAAAUUUAAAUACAUGUAUUCAUUUGCAACGUAGGUCAAGAAUAGUGUAUAAAACAGUAGUGUCUGUGGGCUGUCCAAAGUCCGAAAAAUGGACAAUUAAGUGGAAAUGAAGCCCAAACUAAUCGAAACAUUAUUUACUUACCAAUACGCCCACUCAAAGAGCCCUUGCAUUGCAUGGCUGAAUUUUUCAUAAAAGUCAUGCCCAUUUCCGCCGUCUCAAUGAAACAAACUUUUGUUCACUUCCACUUUCUUUAUUCCUUCGUUAUUCAAUGAAAUCAUAAUUAAUUUCUUUUUCAGUAAAAAAGAAAAAUCUUAGAAGAUAAACUAAUUGGUUCAAUCAAUAUUUGAGAUGGCAGUCUCAGUGGAGCUCAUUUCAGAUUUCGCUUUACAAAUGGUCCUACCUAACUCCCAGAUUCCUAAUAAAAUGAAUCCAGUUCCAUUCAUCUCCCACUAUUAAUUAAUGUUUCAGGGACGACCAGACUUGUAACAGGGUUUGCUCACUUAUUUACGUUGACCAAACACUUUAAUCUCCUGACUUUCCUAUAACACACAUGUUCUACAAUGGUUCUGUGUCUCUCGACAUGUUUACACAACAAUAUUUCCAGGACCCGAACCUUCCCCGAAAGGCCCUCCGCAUUGCAAUUUUUCCAACCCAAAGACUUUUCAUCAAAUGUACCAGGGAAUUAUGGGUGCUGUUUUUUCUAAUUCAAACCAACCUCACACCGCGUGUUGUGUAACCUAUUUUCCAUCAACUUCUUUGUUUAGGGUUGGAAGAUUCAGUUCAGAUUCUUCCUUACUAAAUAAAACCCUAGUUUGUUCGUCAAAAUAAGACGCUUCACUUUCAAGCAUGGGGAAUUAUUUUUUAUUUUUUAGUUAAGUUUUCGUUAAAUUUCAACUAAUUUAAUCAUUAAAUAAUUAUUAGAAUAAGGUGGCGCAGUCGUGGGAUUUUAAAGGAGUUGAUUGGUUAAACAUUAUAGCAUGUACCAACCAGCUGAUUUGAUUGUUCUUCCAGCAAUUUAUUAAUGCCGAUUGGUUAGCGUGAAAGGCCAAUUAUGUUUAUUUUUUGCAGAAUUGAUGAUGUUGAUGGUGACGAUGACGAUGACGGUGACGGUAAAUAAAUAUGACCGCAACUGCAAGAAAUUGACUGAUAAUAAUAAUAAAUUUGAAAGGUAUUCGAUGGGAUUUUAAUUUAUAGUCUCUUGAAUUCUAGGGUUUUUUUUUUUACUAAAAUAAUUUGAAUUCUGAAUUAUUUAUCGAGGUGAAAGAGAUUUUCAGUCUUGUAUUAUUUAAGUCAAUAAUUUAUUUUUUAAUAAUAUUCAGGUAAAAAAGCUUGAAUUAUGAAAAUGUUUAGUUUUUUUAUUAAAAUUUAAAAACAAUAAUUACGUAAAAAAAAAAGGGAUGUCCUUGUGUGAGUCUCCCACUGCCCUUGAUCUUACUUCCCUUUUUAACUUUUACAGUUUAACUUCUUUUUAAUUAGAGUUAUAAAAUAGGAAAAGUCUACAAUUUGCAGUAAAAAAACAAGUGAGCUUUGCUAGAAACUAAAAUAAAAAUGCUUAUAAUAAUAGUGCAGUAAGUAAAAAGAGGCUUUAGGUUUACAUGUUGACCAUACACAUCUGCGUUGAAAUCGAAGAUUCCAUUUCUUAAUGAUGCAAAUUGCAAAGAUUAAUACUGCUUCAGAACCAAUCAAUUCUCUGUUUAGAUUUUACUUGCCCUUUUUGACUGCUCUGGGUAAAGUCAUUAAUACCUAAAUUCCCGGCUUCCACUGCUACCUUCCUUUCUUAGCCUCCCCGACCAACAAUUAUUCAAUUAAAAUUUUUUAUACAAAGUUUAAAAUUAUUUAUUAUUUUUUUAAUUUUUAAUUAGAAAAAUAAAAAAUUUUAAUGCCUCUGUACCCAUCAAUUAAGUUAAAAUUCAAUUAAUUUGUAAAUUACAAAAUAAAAUAAAUCCAUAAAUUUAAUACGUCUAAGUUUCUAUUUUUGGGAAAUUUUAUCACUUUUUUGAAUUUUUAAACAAUAUUUUAAUUUUUUUAAUUUUUUCCAAAACCUUGGAGGUUUAAUUAACUUAUUGACAUUUAUAUAAUUUCCAAAAUCAAUCUUUUUUUGUUAACAAUAAAUAAUUAUUUGUAGUUUUAAUGGAUGCUGUAUUGAAUAAAAGACAUUUAGGGCAUGCUCCCGUAAUCGGGAGGCGAAUAAAUGUUACACGGUCGUUGAUGCUUCCAUUAUGUAGAAUGACAACACAAUAAUCGGGUAUUACACUACCGGACUUCGCUAGACCACCUCUACCACAAUAAAUAUGAAUUAUAGUAAAGCAAAAUCAAAAUUUAUCUAUAUUUAAGAUAUAAACUUAUUUUUUUUACAACUGAAUCUCAUAUCAUGAUAAUGAAAAACUUAAUUAUUAUUUGUUGAGACAAAUGUGGAACCUUAAUUAUUAUAACUUGAAAAUUUUAACAUUUUAUAUAUUACUGUUUUAAUCCUUUUCCUAUAUUUAUAUAGUUAACUUCAAUUCUCAAUAUAGUAUAGUUAAAGAAAAAAUUGAUAAAUGUGAUUUUAAAUAAUAUAAAAUAUUUAGGGAAUAUUGUUGCAACUGUAGGAGUUGACUCGUUUGUUGCUGCGGUGGGAGGAAUGGCCAGGAACAAUGGGGGAUGUUGGUUCUAGGGGUUCUCCCAUAAGUUAGGGAUUUGUCCCGUGCUGGAAGUUGAGUUAUGGGGGGCUUUUGAGGGAGUUAAACUAGCAUGGGAGAAGGGAAUUAAGAAAAUUGUCUUGGAGAUAGGCUGUAUAGAAACAAUUAACCUAUUGAGUGGUCAGACUCGAGAUCAAAACUUGUUAGGGGGAAGAGUGAGGGAUUUAUUGAAGUAGAUGGAAGAGUUUCGUGUGAUACAUAUAUCAAUAUAGAAGAACAAUAUAGCGGUUGGUAUGGUCAAACUUGCCAUGAGAAUGAAUGUGAAACGAAAAAUCUUUGAUGAAUAUUGUUGGACGGUGCAUGACAUUGUCAUAGUGGUAACUGAGGCUUUCAAUCAAAUGAUAAGAUAAAAAGAACAAAUUUAUGUUUAUACCAAAAAAAAUAAAUAAAAAUAUUUAAUUCCAUUCAAAUAAAUUAAAUAUGUAACCAGCCCAAUAAUAUAAUAAAUAAUAUUACAUUAUAAUAUUAACAAGCCAAAAAAAAUGCACCGAAUCAAGUUGAUUGGUGCAACGUAUCCUGAUGGAUUUCAUCAUCGGUCUUAUUCCAAAAACCAUGCGUGUAAUUUCUUAAUUAUUUCCCAAAAGCUUCUCCCACGUAAUUGCUGCGUGGAUUACCGUUGUGGGUUGAAGAUGGUAAUAUGGGUGGGCCCACGGUCAAAUUGCGACGUGGGACCACAUGUUUGGCCCAAAUUAAAACCACGACCAACGCCCUCCCCCAGCAGUGAUUGAAAGUGACGGCACGCUGACAACAUGUCCAGCACAUCCGUGCCCAGGGCCCGCUCUCCAACGCGGCCACGUCAGACACAAGUCGAUCACAGGUGUCCACACGCGUAUUGGCUGCAAAGUCUUCCACCACGUGUCCCCCCGGCGUUCCGUCAAGAAUCAAAGAUCCCCUGUGGGCCCCCUCUUUUUCCUUUUCUUUCGCCCCAAAACUCAAAACCACCUCCAUUGUUACUUACCAAACUCGCAUUAUAUAAUACCAAAUACAUCAACAAAACCAGCUUCUAAACUAAAACCUCGACUAUAAUUACGCGCUUCUCACCCCUUAUUUUCCCAUCUACCCGCUCUUCUCAUUUUACAUUUCCAAACAACAAAAGUGGGGAAACACAAACCAGUUACAAGGUAUUUUCUCGUCUGCUUUUCCAUUUUUGGUUCCUAAUUCUGCCAACUCAUCGCUCAGAGUUUUGCUUUUAAUUGCACUCCCUCGAACUCCGAACCUAACCGAAGCUCUAUAAAUACCCAAACGGCCAUAACGCAUCUCUUUUUCUUUUAAAUUCUUUUGAUCUCUUAUCUGAGUUAAACAUCGAUUCGGUAUUAUACGAUUUUUUUUUAGUUUGAUUCUCCUUCUCUGCGAUUCCUUCUCCUGUUCAGGUGAUUAUAAUCUGACAUUUUCUUUGUUUCGUUUUGGCCGUCGAGAAGAUAGACUAAGGCAGUGGUUUACUUCAUUACGGCGUCGCAAAUUUAUUCUUUUGUUUGUACAUUAUAAUAUCAUCACGGCUUUUCUUUCGUUCUUGAACAAGUAAAAUGGUGCAUUUGUAGAUUAGUUUUCUUUCUUUCUUUCUUUCUUUCUUUCUUUCCAAGUUUUCUCUUUUUGCUCCUUUUGCCCUCAAAGCUUCCUGCAUUUCUCGAGCGGCCUUUCUGAACGCGUUUUCUUUUUCGUUGUCGAGUUUUUUAAAUUAGGUGUGGUUUUGACUUUUUUUCUUUUUUUUUUGCCUCUCAGAAAGCUGUUUUGAUUUUGUUAAAAAUUAGCGUACCGUUGACUGACUUUUUGUUCGCUGCUCAGUUUCCGCUUCUUAAUCUGACGAGUUUUAAAAUCUCUGCUUUCCAGAGUAUUUCUUCAAUGCCGUUGUCUAAUGGUAACCAAAGGAAAAAGAUUGUUUCCAAUUUAAAGAUUUUAUGUGCAUUCCUUACAUUUUCAAAUUAAAUUCUUUUUCUUUGUUUUUUGAAUUGACUUGGUUUGUGCUCUGUUUUCUUCAAGAUUUUAUUUUAUUUUAUUUUGGUCAAAAGAAUCAAUUCCUUAAUUUUCUGAUUGGUUCGUUGUUUUUUCUUUGAAUUGCUCGUUACAUGAUUGACCGUUCAGUUUGUUUUUUCCUAACCGCAAAGCGGAAGCUGUCAAUGUCUAUUCCAAUUUGUCUAUCUCUUCUACCUGUGUUUGCUUGCAAUGAUGUUAUAAUAUAUUCAUUUUGUUUUCACCUCAAAGAUAUUUUUCAAUAGUUGAAUUUUCAAAGAAGAAAAAAGAAAAGACAAUAAAAAACUGUUUAACGUAGCACAGUCGAUUAAUUAGCCGGUAAGAUGCUUAACCGUACUGAUUAAACAAUGACAGCAAGUUACUGAUCUUGGAAAAAAAAUAAACUAUAAGUCUUGCAUACUUUUAGUGGUAAUUUUGAUGCUGAUGGAUGGAAUGUAUGAUAGCAACACGAGUAUGGUGAAACCUGAAGUUUCUGUUUUGGGUUUUCCAAUAAUGAUUUUAAUUCAAUUGAUGGAUCUUUUAUGUGCUUGGGGGUCCAUUGUGUGUUUUCCCCAUUUUCACUGUAGGCCCGUAAUGUGUGGUUGCCUUUAACUUGGUUCCCUCUCCCUGAGUGGGGGCAAGGCGUCAUUUUUAUCAAGCAACUACCAUUUACUUAUAUUUUGCUGUACCAGAUAUCAUUUUUUUCACGUGGGCCAGCUUUAUUUAUGAAUGAAUGCUGCUCUUCACUUCUUUGGGUUUCAUAUAAUUUCAGGCUUUGCUACCUUUUGCAUGCUUACGAGGAUGAUGUAGGUAAUUGUGAUUGUGAUUGUUUUUGUCUUGUUUUUUCCCCUUACAGUUACUGUUUGAGUUAUUUUGGGUGGUGCUAUUAUUUGUUUACUUAUUUUGUUCAUGAUGUCAAUUAUCUAAUGUAUGUGAAAUCUGUAAUUCUGCAUAGUAAUGAAGUCAUCAAUUUGCCUUUUUUCCUAAAUAUUGAGAAUGUUUAUGGGCUUUUAGUUUAUCUUGCUUUUGCUUUCAAAAAAUAUUCCCUGUAUGUUUUGUUUAGCGCUCAAGUUUGCUUCUAUUUGUUUUUAGGUUCUGCAAUUUUGAUUUUUUUUAUAUCCCAGGAAAGGUUGUUGAGCUAUGGAAUAUAAAUCAUUGUGAUACUGAACAAGAAAAACUAUUCAUUGGCAACAAUGAUAUUUUAGAGGAAUUUCAUGUAAAAUUGCAGUCUAGUUGCUUAAAAGGAGGAUAAGGACACAAGUUAUUGUUAAGUGCAAACCUUUUGCCCUUGCAAAUUAACUUUGUCUGGUAAGAAAAGGACUGAACUUUAAAAGGAAUCUGAGGCUGUGAAGGGCCAUAGAAAGUAGAAUUUACUAUAUUUUUCAGUAAUGUCUCGAUGCGUUUUUUAGGAAAUUUUCAUGCUUAUAAAGUCCCUUUCCUUGCAAGUUGUGUGGUUGCUUGCCAGUUCUGACUGAUAAGAUGUUUGUCUUCUACCCAAUCUGAGCUGUCCAUUUUCAUCUGUAUGUCAUCUUUGUGCAUUUUCAUCUUUCAACUGAAUUGCACUACAUAUAUUCGACACCGAUAUAUCUUUUGUUUUCCUGCACCUCUUCUGCCCCCAACCUUUUGGUUUUCUGAAGUUAAUUGUUUAUAUUUGUUUCGUGAGGCAUGUUUUGUAUCAUUGUCCUCCAAUAAUGAAUUUGUCAAAUUUGUUUACUGUUUCUUCUUGGCCUUUAUUCAUUGUUCAUUUUCAGUUUUGAAGGAUGUUAUUCUGGAUCUGUACAUUAAUCAUAGUUCUUAAAUCAAUUCCCUGCAGAUAGUGUUCGCUUACAUAAGCUUUAAGCAGAGUAACCAAAGGAUAUGAACAGGUUCAGUUCCUAUAUCUGGUUCUUUUGAAAAACAGUGAUGGUCUUUAGCUUCAUUUUGUCUCUUUUGACACACGAAAUCCGUUUUCAGGUCCCUUAUGCUUGAUGGACUGCUUGCUUAAGAGCAGUGACAAGAAAACUUUAAAGAGGUGGUUCUUCAAUGAUAAAAGGGUUGGCUGAGUAGAAUAUCUGAGGUUGAAUAUUAAGGUUUGCUUCUUUGCACUUGAGUGGAAAGUUUGCUGAGGAGUCUGUUAGCUUUGACUUUAUAAGUAGUGUUACAAAGCUGGAUCAAAUGGACCUGAAAUCCAAUCACACUGCUCCUGUUCUGGCUGAUCCUGCACCGAUAAGCAAGUCAAGAUUAGUAGCUUCCAGUCUGUUGCCAUACUCAUCCCCAGCACCAGUGUUUUCUCCAAAUCUACUUCUAACUGUUCCCAGGAAGAAAACUGGAAUUCUCGAUGAUGUUCGCGCCAGCAGCUGGCUGGAUGCUAUGAAAUCCUCAUCCCCUCGUCAUACAAGCACGAGGGAUUACAACCAUGAGAUUGUAUCAGCUGAUACAGAUGUUGCGUAUCGCACAUGGAUGGUAUUGUUUCUCUUUUACUUCUACCCGAGUUUAAUUUUGAUACAAGUGGAUGAGUUAUUGAUCUGCUCUAUGUACUUUACUCUCUGAUUUUACAGGUUAAGUAUCCCUCUGCACUAUCAUCUUUUGAGCAAAUUACAAAUUUUGCCAAAGGCAAGAGAAUAGCAUUGUUUUUGGAUUAUGAUGGGACUCUUUCACCAAUUGUGGACAACCCAGAUUUUGCCUUUAUGUCUAUUGAUGUAAGAAUAAAUGGUUUGCCUGACAACCAUAUAUAAAAUCUUUUAGUCAAAAUUCCUCUCUCUUUUUGGUUGCUCAUGAUAGACUAACCAAAGCCAUUUAUUCAGAUGCGAGCUGCUGUAGCAAAAGUGGCAAAAUACUUCCCAACAGCAAUAAUUAGUGGAAGAAGCCGUGACAAGGUGAUUUAAGGAUCAAUUUUUUUAAUAAUUUUUUGAUCAAAAAGCAUUUUAGUAAUUCUGACAUCUUCCUUGGCACUGUUUUUCAUGCGUACUUAUCCAACUGCCACCUUCGAUAUAUUUAGUUUAUUUUAUGUGUUUGAUUGCCUCUUUGUUGGGUUUUAGUUUUGACCAUAUCUUGUUCUAUGCCUUUGUAUAUUCAGGUAUAUGGUUUUGUAGGACUAACAGAUCUCUAUUACGCGGGAAGUCAUGGAAUGGACAUCAUGGGUCCUGUUAGGGAAUCGUCCGAUGAUCCUCCUAACUGCAUUAGAUCUACUGAUAAGCAGGUUUGGGGCUUGAAAUCUCUUAUCUUUUUAUUCCCUGUGACUCUACAUUCUCUAUUAAAUUAUAUCUUAAUCUUGUUUCUCUUUAAUGCACAGGGCAAAGGAGUAAAGUUAUUCCAGCCUGCUAGUGAAUUCCUACCUAUGAUUGACGAGGUAUGUAUGGCUCUCGGGUGCCAUACUUUGAGCCCUUCAGCUUUUCCUCUUUGUUCUAACGUGGAGUUUCAUUCAUCACAGGUUUUUAACUCACUUGUUAACAGCACCAAAGAAAUUAAAGGAGCAAAAGUUGAAAACAAUAAGUUCUGUGUCUCUGUCCAUUACCGUAAUGUAGACGAGAAGGUAGAUACUUUCCUUGGUAUAAGAAAUAUUUAUCAUUUGGAAGUGAUGCUCAGUGGCAUGUCCAUUUUCCUUGCGUACUUUAUUAACUUCUGCGCACAUUCUUAUAAUUGUUUCCAGAAUUGGAAAACAGUUGCACAAUGUGUUCAUGAUGUCAUCAGAAACUACCCUCGUCUGCGAUUGUCUCAUGGGCGGAAGGUGAUCUUUGAAGACAAUAUGAUUCUCCUAUUUUUGACUCAUUUUCUGCUUGUAGCUUGUGCUAGAUAUGGAUGUUGUGAUUUCUGGUUGUGUUAUUUUAUAAUAUUAGUCAUUUAUGUUUUUUAAAAUUUAUGCAAUUAGGUUUUAGAGGUACGGCCUGUGAUCGACUGGGAUAAGGGAAAAGCUCUCACAUUUCUACUUGAAUCACUUGGUAAGUAUGUUUUCUAGACUGUCUUCUUAUUAUUUAUUAUUUUCACUGUCAUGGCAUAUGUUGUUUUUCAUGCAUAAUAAUGAAUUAAUUGUGAGCAAAAUCAAAUGCUUUAGGGCUUAGUAAUCAUGAUGAUGUGCUUCCCAUUUAUGUUGGAGAUGACCGGACAGACGAAGAUGCAUUUAAGGUAAGAUAUAAAUCACAACACCAUUGACACUCUUGAGAGUUGUGUAUGCGUUCAAAAAUAACUAACAGAAACAAGUUCAUUGGUUUAAAAACAGGUUCUGAGAGAGGGAAAUCUGGGAUAUGGCAUUUUAGUAUCAUCCGCUCCAAAGGAGAGUAAUGCAUUUUUCUCCCUUAGGGACCCUCAAGAGGUAUAAAAACAAAUCUGUUUGUUCUCAUACUGGGAUUGUUGGUGUUUGAAAUUAAUUAUGCCUCUGCCUGUGAAUGAUGCAGGUGAUGGAGUUUCUUAAAUCACUGGUGAAUUGGAAGAAGACAAGUGUUCUCUGAAUACAACAAAUAACAUAGAGAAGAAAAAUACACUGAUAAAAGCAUAGAAUAAAGAUAAAAUUUUACUAUAUCUAGUUAACACUGGGAGGCUUUGGAGUGGACGUGGUGGCGUUUCUCCAGGUCUGGUGGCCUACCAUUGCUGCUCAUUGCUUCUUGUCUUAACUGUAUAUUCCUGCUUCAGUUAUCUUUCUCACUGGUAACCGGUGAUGGAUGCUUCCAUUUUAUAUUCAUGUUUCCCAUUCUUGGCAUUCAGUUUCGGAAAGCAGCCCUCUUCCAUUGGACAACACUAAAUAUUUUUUUCAUUCUUUUAAGCAUGGAUAUUCUUUUAUAUGUAUUUUUACAAACUCCUGAUGGAAUGUUAUUUUUCAUGCAUUCUUCUCUCUCAUUUUGCAUAUUUCUUUUAAUUGAAAUACGCUCAACUGAUUUUAAGAUAGAAAUUAGUUCUUUGAUGUAUCAAAAGUCGAGUGAACCAACUUGGGGAAUUUUUUUCUGCUCAUUAUUAUUAUUCACAGCAUAACAUGAAAAUUUAAUUAAUCUUGUGAUGUUGAGCAGUUAGUCGCUGAAAUGAAGCUUAGUGACAGUAAAUCACCAUUUAAAAAAGCUUCUUCAAUACAAUGAUCACAAAACAGGGGAUUGAACUAGCUACUAGUGUAACUAUAAGUAACAUAUGGUAGCUGUUUUUCUUUCAUUUUACUUUUUGUCAGUCUAUAGUUAGUAGUUACCAUGUGGAGUGUUAUUUGAAGUAGCAUAGCAUUUAAAUCGAAUUAAGGAAGCAGCUCCUUUAAUUUAGUUUUGUUGGUUGUCAAUGCCAAUAAAAAGGAGACAGGGUUUGAAUAAUGCAAUGCAAUUCAAGACCCAAUGAUCCUAACAAACAUUCAAGGAGCACACUCAAAUCCCAAAAACCAUUCCAUCCUGAUGGAUGUGGAAAAACAAAUUUAAUUAAGGAGCCUCUCAAACUUAGAGCUCUUGCCACAGCACAUGAUGCAUUUUUCAACAGAUCAGAACAAGUACAAGGACAAUUAAUCCUAGAUUAUCUCAACAGCAUGCCACAUGACCCAUGUUCCAUUUCGUAUACAUAUGUCUGCCAUUUAAUUUAAAGGUAAACAUUUGUGAUGCCAAUGCCAAUGCCUUAUUCACCUCACAAAUCAGUAUCCAUAAACUAGCUGUUUUCAGGCCAGGAGGACCAACAUGCUCAAGACUUGGCAUUCCCUAAUGCUGUGUGUCCAUUGGUCAUUGCACGUAAAUUGGCUCUGUCUUCAUGCUUCCAAAUUAUUAUUAUUAAUGAAGAAAAAUAAUUUACUCUCUGAAAUCUUGCAACGCAAGCCACAACCCAGAAGCUAGAGAAGACAAAUAAUACGAUGAUAAUUUAUAACUAUAUGUAUAGUAGUGUAAAUGGCAAUAUAUAUUAAUAUAAAAUCCUAACCCCCAAAAAGCAAGCAACUGAGUUUGACUACCAGGUGCAGCUGCAUGCAUGCAUUGCAUGGGAUGCCCUUACCUUUUCAACUGUCCCUCUUUGUUUCACUGUAUAGCAUUCACCAGAUCUGAUCUAAUGGGACCACCUCUCUCUCCCCAGCUAAAUUGGACAACCACCAAUCCAAGCUCAAGACAUAUAAAUCUCUUCUCUUUCUCUCUAUGUUGUUCUCUCUUUAAUUUUACCUACCAUUACCCUUUUCUACCUAAUCUCUCAUUGCUUACUUAUAUUGUAAGUGUGACCAAGUAAACCAAGUACAGAAGCUCAAUGCCCAAGAUGGAGGCCAGCAGCAGCACCUCCCAUGACCCAGCAUUGUUCCAUGCUCCCUUGCUAUACCACCCUCGGAGAAGGAGCAGCAGACCCUUAAAGGGUUUCGCAGUGAUAAUUGGGUCCGUCGUUUUCCUACUCUCACUGGUCACAUUAAUCGUUAACCAAAGCCCGGAGCCAUUAGCAAGUAACCCCAGUAGUGUAACGGAGGCAGGGUCGUAUUCAAUGGCGGCGCAGCCAAGAGGGACAGCUGAAGGUGUUUCAGCCAAGUCAAACCCAUCACUUUUUGACAAAGUUGGGUUUAAUUGGACAAACGCUAUGUUUUACUGGCAAAGAACUGCCUACCACUUUCAGCCUCAAAAGAAUUGGAUGAAUGGUAGGUUACCUAAUUACAAUUUAAGUUGCUUCUUUUGAUUUUCGUCACUAAACUUUUCAUUUUAGUUUACUAUUUUUAAACUUAAAUAUGAUUUCCUUUUAAUAAUCGAAUUUAAUUUGUUGUCUUUUUCUUAUUAUGCUUGCACGUUGGUUCGGCAACUUACGUAUCUUGCUUCAGAUCCUGACGGUGAGUUCUCAUCACAUCUAAAUUCUUGUUGUUAGUCAACCAUUUCAUCAAUCAAUGCGUAAAACACAAAAAUAUCGAAUCAGAAAAUUGUGACCAACCCAAUCUGCUAGUUCUUCCAAAUUUGAGCAUUUCAACCUUGAUUUGCAAUUAAAGUUGGCUUCUACAUUGAAUUGAAUCACACCUUACCCUUUUUCUUCUACUAGAUCCACUUAUAAAUUUAUUUCUCAAUACUCAUUUAAUUAAAUUUAAAAAAUUUACAUAAUUUGUUUCAUAUAAAAAUUCAAUUCUUUAAUAUAUAAAAAAUAUAUAUUCUACAUCAAUAAGAUACUAAUAUCGAAUCCACCAUUUGUGGUAUAAUAACUGCAAUUAUAUUACAAAAUUUUAAUAAAAUAUUAAUAGCAUAAAAUUAAUUAAUUUAAAAAAUAUAUGAUUUUUUAACAGGAUUAAAUAGGACAAAUAUCUUAUUAAAAAAAUAAAUAUUAAAAGGAAAAAGACAUGAUAACCCUUAGUUUACAAUCAAUGGUUACUUGACCGUAUGGUUUGCUUACCUGUCGUUCUAACGUUUAAGUCCUAACUAACUAGUUUUGCAAAACCUUGCUUCUGUGCAUACACCAUGUAAUAGCAUGUGAUUUUUUUAGUAAUUAUAUUAAACUCUAAUAGUUUAAUUAAAGUAGCACGUGACAUAAUGGAACAAAAAUACGAUGGUCGCAGGUCCGUUAUAUCACAAGGGAUGGUACCAUCUUUUCUAUCAAUACAACCCUGAUUCAGCCAUAUGGGGAAACAUCACUUGGGGCCACGCUGUAUCAACGGACCUCAUUCACUGGUUCUAUCUCCCACUCGCCAUGGUCCCUGAUCAAUGGUACGAUAUCAACGGUUGUUGGACGGGGUCGGCCACUCUCCUGCCAGAUGGCCGAAUCGUAAUGCUUUACACCGGCAGCACCAAUGACUCCGUGCAAGUCCAAAACCUUGCAUAUCCCGCCAACCUAUCUGAUCCCCUCCUCCUUCAGUGGUUAAAAUACCCGGGUAACCCGGUUGUUGUUCCCCCAACCGGGAUCGAAGACGAAGAGUUCCGAGACCCGACAACAGCUUGGCUUGGACCCGAUGGUUCCUGGCGGAUUGCUGUUGGUACAAGGUUUAAUACCACCAUAGGAACAGCCCUUGUUUUUCAAACGACAAACUUUUCGGACUAUGAAUUAUUGGAUGGGGUCUUACAUGCUGUUCCGGGUACGGGUAUGUGGGAAUGUGUAGAUUUUUACCCCGUUGCAAUAAACGGGUCGGUCGGACUGGACACGACGGCACUUGGGCCUGGAAUUAAGCAUGUCCUGAAGGCUAGUUUGGAUGAUACGAAAGUUGAUCAUUAUGCAAUAGGGACCUACGACAUGAUAACGGAUAAAUGGACACCUGAUAACCCGGAAGAAGAUGUAGGCAUCGGGUUGAAAGUGGAUUAUGGGAGAUACUAUGCCUCCAAGACAUUUUUUGAUCAGAGUAAACAAAGGAGGAUUCUUUAUGGUUGGGUUAAUGAAACUGAUUCUGAAGCUGAUGACCUCGAAAAAGGAUGGGCUUCCAUUCAGGUAAAUUACAUACAUACAUACAUUACCACUACGAGUACUACAACAUACAUAACAUACUUUUCUACACGAUGGUAUUUUGUUUUCGUAAUUUACAGACAAUUCCCAGGAGUGUGUUGUAUGACAACAAGACCGGAACCCAUUUACUACAGUGGCCUGUGGAAGAAGUGGAGAGCUUGAGACUGAAUGCUACAGUGUUUAAGGAUGUUGUAGUUGAAGCAGGAUCAGUUGUGCCCCUCGACAUAGGCACCGCUACUCAGGUUUUGUAACUUUACCACCUCUAAUAACAACUCACCCCACCAGCACUAAUUUAUAUUGACAACAUAAAAUUAUUAAAUGCAGUUGGAUAUAUUAGCAGAGUUUGAAAUAGAGACGUUGGUAUUGAACAGCACGGAGGAUGAAGUCAGUGAUUGCGGUGAUGGGGCGGUUGAUAGGAGCACUUACGGGCCAUUUGGGGUCCUGGUUAUUGCUGAUGAUUCACUUUCUGAGCUCACUCCUAUAUAUUUCCGUCCACUUAAUACAUCCGAUGGGAGUCUUGAAACUUACUUUUGCGCUGACGAAACAAGGUUUGCUUUGUUCUACAUAUGUUUCUAAUUGCGAGUUUCAGGUAACAAGUGAAAGAACAAUAUAUAAAUGGUUUGAUGCAGGUCUUCUAAAGCUCCCGAUGUCACAAAACGAGUGUAUGGAGGCAAAAUUCCAGUGCUUGACGAUGAAAACUACAAUAUGAGGGUAUUGGUAAGUCAUAAAUAAUGUUGUCUGCUUGAAGAUAUGAUUUUGGUGAAAUUACAAAAAAUGUACUGCUACUAGUAGUCUUAAUUAGUUAAUUCGAUAAAAGAUUAUUGUAAAUUAAAAAGUUGAAUGAAAACAGGUGGAUCAUUCAGUAGUGGAAAGUUUUGGAGGAGGAGGGAGGACGGUGAUAACAUCAAGAGUGUAUCCAACGGAAGCCAUAUAUGGAGCAGCACGGCUGUUCUUGUUCAACAAUGCAAGUGGAGUGAAUGUGAAGGCCACACUCAAAAUAUGGGAGAUGAAUUCUGCCUUUAUUCGUCCUUUCCCAUUUGAAGAAACAUUAUUCCAGGAAAUGGUUGCUUCCACAUGAUUAUCAUUUGGGAAGGGUGGAUGCCCCCAGUCUACAAAACAUAUUAGUAUUAUGUUUUCAGUGCAUAAUUUUUUUUAUUUGUUGGGCAUGUCCAUUCAUUUUGUAUUGUCGCCUGGUAUUUGGUUGAGAAUAAAUCGAUAAAAUUUUGAGAUUCUUAUAUUUUUCGUCUUUACCUUACCUAAUAAUAUAGGAAAAAAGGGAUUUUAUGAUAUUAUGAUUCCACAUCAUCUUUUAUAUCUUUUUAAUAGGAGAAUGAUAAAUUAAAUUUUUUCUCUUGAUUUUAAAUUUUUUCCUUCUAAAAAAGUUCAAAUCUAACUAAAAAUCGCAUUAACUUAAAAUUAAUAUCCAAUUAACCCAAGAAAACAAUAAGAAAUCGUCACUACUUAUAACUAUAUGAUAAGAAUUACGGACAUCAAAUCCUAAAAAAAAGAAAAAGUAUCAUAGAGGCCUUAUAUUAAUCUGUACACAUUAGAUUAAAAAGUAAAUUAGUUUUAUUAAAAAUUUCAUCCAUUUCUACUAUUAAAAUUUAGUCAUUGUAUGUCAGCAUAAGGUACACAUAGCACAUUACGUGUCACUGUUUAGUUAUUCUGUUAGCUAUUCUAAUUUUUAACAGUAGAAAUAGAUGAAAUUUUUAACAAAAAUGACCAAUUUGCUCAUUAAUCUAAUGUACAAAAAUUAAUUUAUUUAUUUUUUUAAUACAAGAACAAAAUGCAAUUUGACUCUUAAUACAAAAUCUUUCAUGGUAUUUUUACCAAUCAACAUUAGUUCAUCUAUCUUUAAUUAAGCAACAACGAGUAGACAUAUUUCUUUAUGAGCAUUCAUGCAUUACAACCAACAAGGCUUUCAUUAUUAAGCAGUUGAUAGUUUUGAAUAUUAACAGUACUCGAUUUAUACCUAUGCAGGAAGUUAUUCUGUAACAGUUAAAGCCAGAUACUCUACUACUUGCAUGUUAGCUAUGUUAGGAACCUUCCACACCAUUAUUGUACAAAUCAAAUGUUUUUUUUAGAGGAUGUACAAAUCAAAUGUUGAUAUAUAAUGGUAGCCAACAAAAUCUCUGUAACCACAUCCACAAGCCCCACACUGAUUUGCUUUUAAGCCCUCCGGCACAAAAGCUUUACCAAUCAAAUUUCUUGAGGUGAGCUUUCCACCUUUAACUAUUUACCACUAGCAGACAAGUCUAUACUAUAAUCCUUUAUCCAACAUCAAUUUUCUAACUCUUUCCGCAUCCUCCACCCUCCCUGCAUUGCUAUAUAUCUUCAUCAAUAACUCAAAAUUAUGUUGGUUAUCCGGCUCCAGCUCGAAAAGUUUUUGACCUGCAAUCUCUCCUAUUUGUAUGUUUCCAUGAACCGAACAGGCAUACAGCAUUGCUCCCCACACGGUUGGCCCUGCCUCAAACUCCAUUCUCUCCACUAUCAUGUUGAAAGCCUCAUCUAUCAGCCCUGCUCUCCCGUAAAGAUUUAUCAUGCAAGCGUAGUGCUCCAUUCUUGGAUCAAUCCCGUACUUCUUUCUCAUCAACCAAAACAACCGCUCUCCGUCCUUAACCAAACCUAAAUGAGCACAAGCCGAUAGUAUUGCUACAAACGUGAUGCUAUCAGGUGAAGUACAGCUCCUCACCAUCUGUUCGAAGUACAACAGAGCUUCUGGGUUUUUACUAUGACCAGAGAUUAUUGAAUUCCAUGACACAAUAUCCCGCUCGGGCAUUCGUUGAAACAACCAACUUGCUCCAUCUAACUUGCCAAGAUUAGAAUACACAACGAUCAUAGCAUUAACGACAGAUGUAUUCCACUCAAUUCCUCGCCGGAGAACCCAUCCGUGUAUCUGUGCCGCAGUCUUCAAUGAACAAAAACUAGACAGAAUAGUGGAUAUAGUAACAGAGUCAGGCUCAAAUCCCUCUUGAAUCAUCCCACGGAAUACCUGCAAAGCCCCAGCCAAUAACCCGUGACGAAUAUAACCCGUCAACAUGGAAUUCCAAGAAAUGUUAUCCUUACAAGCAAUGCUAUCAAAAACCCGCCUAGCCUUAACUAUGUCUCCACAUUUUGCGUACAUAUCAAUAAGAGCAUUAAGCACAAACACGUCAUUUCCAAAACCCUUACGCACCACAUCGCGGUGAACAGCCUGCCCAACAUGAAUCGACCCAAUUCCCGCGCAAGCCUUCAAUGCGCGAGGAAAUGUGAAUCGAUCAGGUUCAACACCCUCUUCCUCCAUUUGAAAGUAAAGGGCUAAGGCAUCUUCAUAUUGUCCCAGUUCUGCGUAUCCCGAGAUAAGAGAAUUCCAGGGAAAAGCGUACUCGUUUCGUUUAGACAUUUGAUCAAACACUUGAUGGGCACUUUCCAUGCGUCCAGCCGUAGCAUACAGCCUUAACAGUUUGGAAGAGAUGCCCGUGUUUUUACGCAAUAAGUUCUGGGGAACAAGACGAUGAAUUGCGAUGCCGUGGUCGAUGGAUUUUAGUUGGUAACAUGUUUCUAACAGAGAAGAGAAUAUCUCUGAAUCUAUUAUUAUGCCUUUUUUGACAGAGGCUUCGAGGUCUUUAACGAUAGAGUCUACGGCUUGGAGUUUAGUUUGGGGGAAGGGUUUGUUGUUGAUAAAGAGUGGGGUUGGCGAGGAUCUUGGGAAUGGGAGGGCAGGGGCAGUGUUUUUAUUAUGCUCAAACUGUCUUCGCUUUUGCUUCUGGUUCUUCUUGCCUUUAGAAGAGCAGUGAAAAUGGAGAGUCAAUGGUAUAGUGUGUGGCUGCAGUUGUAAAAGAGCAACCAUUUUCAGAGAACGAAGACCGUUAUUGGCAACACCCAAAGUCCCGAUAAGAAUUUUUACGCAUGCAGUGGUUUUUAAAGUCUUUAUUUACAAUUUGGACCCUGACUUAUACAUUUUCUUUAUAUUGGUACUUAACUUUGUUUUGUCCACUUUCACAAUUGAACCAUCAUUUUCAUCCCAAUUUACCCAAAAAAAACAAAGUUGGCAAUAAAAACAUGACUUACGUCCACGUUAAUAACUUUUAGAGUAAAAUAGGAGGAAAAUUAUAAUUCAGGUACUAAAGUGGAAAACGAAAAGUUUACAUUCCAACGUGAAAAAACAACUACAUUUCAAGAGCCUCUUGAAAUCAUGAAUAAAGCCAUUUUUAAAUCAUAGAACAACUUUGAAAACCUAAUUGAGAUAGACUACCGCAAGAGGGGGUUUGAUUUAUUCUGCACUUGAAAGCUUCAAUAAGUAUUGAAGCUCAUAUAUUUAUUUGCAUGUUAUUUAAGUAAACUGAGCUUUAAGGUAGCAAUCGUUCAAACUAUCAUGUAUAUAUGAAAGUAAUGAAAAGCAUCUGUUUUCAAGACAUUAUUUUAGUACAUCAUGGGCACCCUCCUUUUUUUACCUCAACCAGAUUUACAUCCUUCUUUUCUUUUCAUUUCCUCAUCUUGCUAGAAACUUUUGAAGGUCCUGUGACCCUCAGCUGGCCUUGACUUUGCCCUAAAAACAAGGUAAAAAGGAUACUCCUGUUUUUGUGAUGCUCUUGUUUCACAAGAAUCUUACCCAACAGUCUGCUGCAACAAAAAAUAAAAUCAAAUAAGAAAUCAACAAAUCAUUUCAAAACCCAAACCUAUGUACUGCAUAUUGGUAUAGACAUUACAAUUGCUGGAGGACACUAAUGUUGUUCUUGCGACUAUUCUCCCUCUAGCUCAUAUCUAUCACUACCACCAGGGCAGAAAUGUUCCAGUUCCACCGGGUAUUUAAAGGGAUGGCCUUUUCUAUUGUUACAAGUAAUUAUAUAUUCAAUAAAGUUCACAAGAAGCAUAAUCUUGUUCUAGAUAAGAAACAUAACAAAAAUGCCAAAAAGGUUCAAUAAAAACAAUGCAGUAGUCAUGUUUUCUGAUUCAAAAUGUAACAAAAAAAAAACAGCAAAGCUGGAUAGAAAGGAUCAUUGCACUCACAGAACAUACCUCAAACGCAGCAAAGAUUGGACGAACUUGUUCAAAUAUUUCAUCUUCUGUUCCUAUUGCCUUGAUCUGCAAGUAUUUGCUUCAUUUACUAUAACCAAUAUGCUAUGUAAGCUGCCACAAAUUAGAAAGGGAAAAACAUAAAGCCCCAAAGGAGACAAUUUUAUAUAUCUACCGUAUAGAGCUUUCCUUUCUCAGAGUAGUAGUUAAUAACUGGAAGACUCAAUGCCUGAAAAACUGUAAGACGUUUUUUGAUUGUUUCUAAGUUGUCAUCAACUCGACCCUGCAAUAAGAAAACAUCAUACUUCAAAAAACAGGUUUAAUGUGAUUCAAAUUAAGCCAAAAAGUUAUCAACAUGUACCUCAUUACGAUUCAGCACACGUUUCACCAUUUCUUCUUCUGGGCAAUCAAAGAAAAGUACAACAUUUGGCUCUACACCAAUCUGAGAUUGCCAUUCAGAAAGCUAUAUUAAUGAUAAAAAGGUCUUUUCUUCAAAUAUUCACACAUAUGUCAUCACUUUUUCAGAGAGUUUUUUCAACCCAACAAGCAAACAACUUUAGGAAACACAUAAUUAACAGCUUUGGAAGGCAAAUAGUCAAAUUUAUUUACAGUUCUCACACACACACACACACAAAAAACCCAUUAGGGGAAAAACGAAGGGAAAAAAAAAGCUCACAAUUUGUUCAAAUGAUACUCGGUUCUCCUCAGUACGUGGGAAGCCAUCAAUGAGAAAUUUGUGAUUGUCACUUAAUUCCAUCUCCUUUUGUAUCAGUUUGACUGUCACCUGUGACGGGACAAUUUUUCCUUCUUUAAUUGUGUUAAGAAUCAUGGCACUGGAAUCAAAGAUAUAUCAUUAGAGGAUAAGGAUUACUUAGUCACUUGGCAAUAUGAUUUGUAAACAAUGAUGAGAAAUCAUUACCCAUCUGCACUCUUAGAAGCUAUUUCCCUUCUCAACAAAUCUCCUGCACUCAAAUGUGCGAAUCCAAAUGUCUCAACUAUCUUUAUACACUGAGUCCCUUUUCCACUACCAGGGCCACCUGAAAAUUGAAAGGCAGGUGGAAAACUCUGAAUAAAUGUAAGCUCCAGAUGAAAAGUUUACUAAACAAAAGAUGUCUAUUUGAACACUUCAAAAAAGCAGUAUCGCACAUACUGUAUCAAAGCCUGGUGUCACAAAUGGUUUCCAUGUGAAAGUAGGGUGCAAAAAUCUGUCCAAACAUUUAUACAGGAUAUAGUUUUUGACAUCACCGUUCCCUUUAAUGCAAUAAAAGAUAAAUGUUGAUCUAUCAAAAGAUUUACAGCAGUGGUAUAUCAAUAAAUAACCUCAAGUAUCAUUUGCAUACUAACCAUACAAUAAAUGGCAAGUGACAUCUAAUAUAAUUAACCAAAUAAUACAAUUAUAUUGUGAACUAUGUAACCCAUGAUGUUUUGCUGCACUCAGAAAGCCAAAAGAUUCAAGUUGGGUCAGAAGCAACCAUUCCUUUGGUUAGGCAAAAAAUCAAGCAUGCUGGAUGUGCAAUUUGCAUCUUUAAUUUUGUUUUCUUCUUGAAAAUAGAAUUUAAAAUAUAAAUAUAUCAAAAAAAGAGAAAUGAACUUAAGGAGAAAAUAAGGUUUAAAAUUGUGCAAAACUUCCCAAGCUCAAAGAAUUCCAAAGCCAACACAAAGCAUAGCAAAUAAGUGUGAUUUUGCAUGAUACCAUAUAAAGUAAGAACGGAGCAUUACUCAUUCAUGCUAGCAAUGCGCAAGAUUUACCUAGGACAAAAGUUAUGAAUGGAGUUUUCUCUUUGGGGGCUAUUACACCUUUUGCCUGCAUGCAGAUAAUGAUGAACAAAAAAAAAAAAAACUCAUUUUAAGAAUAUAUCACGGAAUAUUUACUGUGCUGUAAGCAAGUAAGCAUCAAAAAAUUAACAAAACCAACAAAAGUAAAAAGAAUUAAAAUGUAAAUGAAUUUGAAACAGACAAAACUUAUCUGACAAACAAUCACAGUAGCACAAGGAUUAACAUGAAAUAAGUGAAUAAGUCGAAAUCCUGGGGCUAUAGGAUCAAUAUACUAAAUCCUAAAUUAUUCAUACCAAACCAAAGGUGGUCAAAUUGAUACAUGACUGAUAACAGGAUACAUUUUAAAUGCUUUGGCACCAUCUCCAUCUAACAUAUUUAUGUUGAAUUGAUCUGUCCAAACUCAAACAAGGUGUCUCAAAGUAAGUUGCAAAAUUAACUAGAAUCUACAUUUUCCCUCCUAGGCAAUACCCACAUAAGAAAAGGAAAGUAAAAAUAACAGCACACUCUUAAAAGUCAACCCAUAAACGAGGGCCUUUUUUUGGGCGAAGAAUCAGUCAGUUUUGAAGAUUCAAUCUGUCCAAGUCUAACACAAGUCCAAAUGCAACAAGAAAUGUUCUUCAUUUUGACAAUUGGAUUACAAUACCUGUUGGGCGAUCCCUGUUGUUAAUGAUUCCCAAGUGUUGAGCCUAGACGCUGUCUAUAAAACAGAAACGAGAAAACGAGUGCUAAAAGUGAUGAAUAACAGAAAAAGUAAACUAAAAAGAAGAGAAGAACAGAAGAGAGAUAAAUGAAGACCCUUUUUUUUAUUAAUUUGCAUUGAUUUUCAAUUGAGAAGAGGUAGAAGAGAAUCGGAACCUGGGCAAGAAAGGAGGAUGAGAUGGAGGAAGAAAGCGAAGCCACGCGCCUCCACAUCUCUGUCAGACUUGGUCUUCGUCUUUAGUUGCUAUUUCUCUCUUAUUCGUUGUUUAUUCAGGUAUAAUAAAAGUUUUGAGGAAUGAAGAUGAGGUGGGGUUUGGGGGGUUGUUACUGCUAUGGAGACAUUAUGUCGAACAAAUAACGUGCACCAUGUGAGAUGUGUCGUGCGGAGGAACGCUAAGCGGCGAGGCAGCAAUUGUAGUAAUGAGAGAGUGAAUAGUGCAGUGUGUUGUCUUGAUAUGGGGGCCUGGCGAACGAAUCAAAUUCCCCUUGUUUGUUUGAAAAUUGAUUGAUGCCUCAUGUUAACAUUAAUGGGAGACAACAUUAAUGGCAAACAAUACAAAGUGGUGCAAGUUUAGCACCCUAAAUUUGACUUUGAAAAAGUGGCAUGGGAUAAUUUUUUUUUGGUCCUUGAGAUAAUGGGCUAUUUAUUGUUUGGUCCUUAAACCUCAACUAUAAAUAGGCCUUCUCAUUUCUCAUUUCAAUUCAUCCCAACCAAUCUUUCUCUCUUAGUUUUCUCUCUUCUCCCAUUUGAGAAUUCUUAAGGAAUUCUAUUUGUUUGUAAUACUUUGAAGAUAGUAAAGUUAUCAUCUGGUGUUAGUGCCCGAGGACGUAGGUAUAAUUUACCGAACCUCGUUAAAACUCUUGUGUUCUUUCUUGUCCUAUUUUUCUUUCAAUAUUUGAGGGUAUAAUAGUAGUAUUUAAUUGUGCUAUUAAAUUACUAUAGAAGGGAUAUUCUGUCUAAGGAAAGACUUGGUAUUUAAGAGAUCCUUGUGAUCCACCUCUCUUCCCUGGGAAUUGAACUUUGUGUGAUUUUUUAGUACAAUAAUUUACACGCUUCCGACCCUAUUGGAACAACAAGUGGUAUCAGAGCCGAAGGUUAAUCGUAGUAUGCUCUGUGGUUGCAGUUUGAACUGAUCUUCCACAUCAGAAAAGAUUUCCUUAGGUAUAUUGAAAGAUUAUGGAGAAAACGGUCGGUGUAGGAGCUUCAACAUCGUCCAUGUGGACAAGACCGACAAUUGCAAAUGCAAGAUUGGCCGUGGAGAUCUUUGAUGGCACGGGCCAUUUUGGUAUGUGGCAAAGUGAGGUUCUAGAUGCCCUUUUUCAGCAGGGUCUAGACAUUGCCAUUGAUGAAGAGAAACCAGAUGAUGUACAGGAGAAAGAUUGGAAGGCGAUCAAUCGGUUGGCAUGUGGCACAAUUCGAUCAUGCCUUUCUCGAGAGCAGAGGUAUGCUUUUUCAAAGGAGACUUCUGCAAAUAAGUUGUGGGUGGCACUUGAAGAAAAAUUUUUGAAGAAAAACAGUCAAAAUAAGCUCCACUUGAAGAAAAGACUGUUUCGCUUCACAUACGUCCCAAGUACCACAAUGAAUGAUCACAUCACCAAAUUUAAUCAGUUAGUCACUGAUUUGCUGAAUAUGGAUGAGACAUUCAAAGAUGAAGAUUUGGCUUUGAUGCUGUUGGGGUCACUUCCUGAGGAGUUUGAGUUCCUAGAAACUACUCUACUUCAUGGCAGGAGUGAUAUAUCUCUGAGCGAAGUCUGUGCGGCCUUAUACAGUUAUGAACAGAGAAAGAAGGACAAACAGAAAAACUCAAUCAGAGAUACAGAAGCUUUACUAGUCCGAGGUCGUUCAUACACUCGGAAGAAAACUCAAAAGGGGAGAUCAAAGUCAAAGUCCAGACUCGGGAAAGAUGAAUGUGCUUUUUGUCAUGAGAAAGGCCACUGGAAGAAAAAUUGUCCAAAGCUGAAGAAUAAGGGAAAAGCUGCUGUAGAUGCUUGUGUUGCUAAGCAUGAUACUAGUGACUCUGAACUAUCACUGGUUGCAUCAUCAUCGUCGUUCCAUUCAGAUGAGUGGAUAUUGGAUUCGGGUUGUACCUAUCAUAUGUCCCCUAACCGGGAGUGGUUCUCUGAUUUAGUAGAACUAAAUGGAGGAGUUGUUUAUAUGGGCAAUGACAAUGCCUGUAAAACUGUUGGGAUAGGUUCAAUCCAAUUAAAGAAUAAAGAUGGAUCAACCAGAGUUCUGACUGAUGUUCGGUACGUGCCCAGUUUGAAGAAAAAUCUCAUCUCAUUGGGAGCCUUGGAAUCCAAUGGUUCAGUUGUUACUAUGAGAGAUGGGGUUUUGAAAGUGACAUCUGGCGCACUUGUGAUAUUGAAGGGCAUCAGGAAAAAUAACUUGUAUUACUACCAAGGUAGUACAGUUAUUGGAGCAGUCGCUGCAGCUUCCGGUAACAAAGACUUGGACUCAAUGCAGUUGUGGCAUAUGAAGUUGGGACAUGCCAGCGAAAAAUCCUUGCAAAUUCUGGCAAAGCAAGGAUUGUUGAAAGGUGUAAAGGCUUGCAAAUUAAAAUUUUGUGAGCACUGUGUUCUGGGAAAGCAAAAGAGAGUGAAAUUCGGCACUGCUAUCCAUAAUACAAAAGGUAUUUUGGAAUAUAUUCACUCAGAUGUGUGGGGGCCUUCCAAAACACCUUCAUUGGGAGGAAAACACUACUUUGUUACUUUUGUUGAUGACUUUUCCAGAAGAGUUUGGGUGUAUACCAUGAAAACUAAAGAUGAAGUGCUUGGAGUUUUUCUUAAAUGGAAAACUAUGAUCGAAAACCAGACUGGCAAGAAAAUCAAGCGGCUUAGGACGGACAAUGGAGGGGAAUAUAAAAGUGAUCCGUUCUUCGAUGUGUGCCAAGAGUAUGGUAUUGUUCGACACUUCACAGUUAGGGAUACACCACAGCAGAAUGGAUUGGCAGAGCGUAUGAAUCGAACAUUGCUGGAGAAAGUUCGAUGUAUGUUGUCCAAUGCUGGGUUGGGCAAGCAAUUUUGGGCUGAGGCUGUGACAUACGCUGGCCAUCUUGUUAAUCGUUUGCCAUCAUCUGCAUUAGAAAGAAAAACUCCUAUGGAGGUAUGGUCUGGAAAACCGGCUACAGAUUAUGAUUCCUUACAUGUGUUUGGAACCACUGCAUAUUACCAUGUGAAGGAGUCAAAGUUAGAUCCGAGGGCAAAGAAAGCUCUCUUUAUGGGAAUCACUUCUGGAGUGAAGGGAUUUCGUCUUUGGUGCUUAAGCACAAAGAAAAUGAUCUGUAGCAGAGAUGUUACCUUUGAUGAAUCUACCACAUUGAAAAAGGUAGCAGAUAAAGAUAUUCAGACGAGCAAUACUCCACAGCAGGUGGAGUGUACUCCAAAACAGGUGGAGUUUGAGCAGAUGGGGAUUUGCCCAGUUAAUAAGUCUAAUUCUCCAGCCACAAUGGAGGAAUUAGAGGUUGAAGAGGUUCUGACCCAAGAACCACUAAGUACACCAGAACCAGUUGCAGUUGCAAGGCCACGGAGAGAAAUUCGUAAACCUGCUCGAUUUACUGAUAUAGUGGCCUACGCCCUUCCCGUUGUUGAUGAUAUUCCUAUCACUUAUCAAGAAGCAAUGCAAAGCUUAGAAAGUGAUAAAUGGAAAAGCGCCAUGGAUGAAGAAAUGCAGUCUCUCCGGAAGAAUAAUACUUGGGAGUUGGCGCAAUUACCGAAAGGUAAAAGGGCAAUCGGAUGCAAGUGGGUAUUCGCAAAGAAAGAUGGAUCUCCUAGCAAGAAGGAUAUUCGCUACAAGGCAAGAUUGGUAGCUAAAGGCUACGCUCAGAAGGAGGGAAUUGACUACAAUGAUGUAUUUUCCCCUGUUGUGAAGCAUUCCUCCAUUAGAAUUUUGUUGGCCUUGGUAGCACAGUUGAAUUUGGAGCUAGCUCAACUUGAUGUUAAGACGGCUUUCUUGCAUGGUGAGUUAGAAGAGGAGAUCUAUAUGACUCAGCCAGAAGGAUACACAGAUGCUGGUGGUAGAAAUUGGGUUUGUAAGCUUAACAAAUCGCUAUAUGGAUUGAAGCAAUCCCCGAGGCAGUGGUACAAGCGAUUUGAUAGCUUUAUGAGAAGGCAGAAGUACACAAGAAGCAAAUAUGACAAUUGUGUAUAUUUGCAGAAGCUGCAUGACGGAUCUUUCAUUUAUCUACUCUUGUAUGUUGAUGAUAUGUUAAUCGCUUCGAAGAGCCAAAAUGAGAUAGAUAAGCUGAAGGCUCAGUUGAAUCAAGAGUUCGAGAUGAAAGAUCUAGGUGAGGCCAAGAAGAUUCUCGGCAUGGAGAUAAGUAGAGAUAGACCGAGAGGCAAGCUCUGUUUAAAUCAGAAGCAAUAUCUGAAAAAGGUAUUACAAUGUUUUGGUGUAAAUGAAAACACAAAACAUGUAAGUACCCCACUUGCUUCUCAUUUGAAACUUAGUGCUCAAUUAUCUCCGAAGACUGAAGAUGAAAGAGAAUAUAUGGCGAAAGUCCCAUAUGCUAAUGCAGUUGGGAGUUUGAUGUAUGCGAUGGUGUGUACGAGGCCUGACAUUUCACAAGCUGUUGGAGUUGUGAGCAGGUAUAUGCAUGAUCCUGGAAAAGGACAUUGGCAAGCUGUGAAAUGGAUUCUACGGUAUCUUCGAAAAACCGUAGAUGUUGGUUUAAUUUUUGAACAGGAUGAAGCACUUGGUCAGUUUGUAGUUGGAUAUGUUGAUUCCGACUUUGCUGGUGAUUUAGAUAAACGUCGUUCAACUACGGGGUAUCUGUUUACUCUUGCGAAAGCCCCAAUAAGUUGGAAGUCUACCUUACAGUCUACAGUAGCUGUGUCUACUACAGAGGCAGAAUAUAUGGCAGUUACAGAAGCUGUUAAGGAGGCUAUUUGGCUUAAUGGAUUGUUGAAAGACUUAGGAGUUGUUCAAAGUCACAUAAGUUUAUAUUGUGACAGUCAGAGCGCUAUUCAUUUAGCGAAAAAUCAAGUCUAUCAUUCAAGAACCAAGCAUAUCGACGUAAGAUAUCACUUUGUGCGGGAAGUCUUUGAAAAAGGAAAAAUUCUACUUCAGAAGAUUCCGACAGCAGAUAAUCCCGCAGAUAUGAUGACCAAGGUGGUAACAACAAUCAAGUUUAAUCAUUGUUUGAACUUGAUUAACAUCCUGAGAAUUUGAGCACCUUCAGGUGUAUGGCGCCCGAGAGUGCAUUUGUAGGCACUACAAAAGAUAGCUUUAUCGAAUUUGGGGAGUUGAAGGAAGUGUGUGAAGAUGUGAUUAUCCUAAUCAAAUCUUCAAGGUGGAGAUUGUUAACAUUAAUGGGAGACAACAUUAAUGGCAAACAAUACAAAGUGGUGCAAGUUUAGCACCCUAAAUUUGACUUUGAAAAAGUGGCAUGGGAUAAUUUUUUUUUGGUCCUUGAGAUAAUGGGCUAUUUAUUGUUUGGUCCUUAAACCUCAACUAUAAAUAGGCCUUCUCAUUUCUCAUUUCAAUUCAUCCCAACCAAUCUUUCUCUCUUAGUUUUCUCUCUUCUCCCAUUUGAGAAUUCUUAAGGAAUUCUAUUUGUUUGUAAUACUUUGAAGAUAGUAAAGUUAUCAUCUGGUGUUAGUGCCCGAGGACGUAGGUAUAAUUUACCGAACCUCGUUAAAACUCUUGUGUUCUUUCUUGUCCUAUUUUUCUUUCAAUAUUUGAGGGUAUAAUAGUAGUAUUUAAUUGUGCUAUUAAAUUACUAUAGAAGGGAUAUUCUGUCUAAGGAAAGACUUGGUAUUUAAGAGAUCCUUGUGAUCCACCUCUCUUCCCUGGGAAUUGAACUUUGUGUGAUUUUUUAGUACAAUAAUUUACACGCUUCCGACCCUAUUGGAACAACACCUCACUCCCUCCCUCGUUUCUUUUUCGAGGAAGAAUGAUUUGAGAUUUCGGGAUUCGUCUUCUAACUAACAACUUGACUCAUUCUUAGAUCAUAAUAUGAAUAUAAUUAUGAAUAGAAAUUACGCAAAUAAGAUGCUAUUUUAUUCCUACAACGUCUAAUAUUUGAUCACGAAACGGAACUAACUACUUUAUCAAAACUGGAAUUACCCACCAAACCCAAUAAUCAACGCAAGCAACACAAGAAUCGAGUGUUUUAUAUGUUACGAUAUUUGAUUUGUAAAUUAAUGUAGGUAAAUGCGUCUAAACAAGCAUUUCAAUCUUUAACAAAAAAUUGAUAAAAAAACAAUAAUUUACUAGAAAAUUGUUGGAAAUUUUAUAAUUUUUAGAAAUUUUGAAAUAUAUUAUCGAUUGGUAAGGUAGAGAGUUGAAUCAUAAAAUUACGAUUUUAUAUUCUACUCCAUGAGACUUUUACAACUGUAUAUCAUAUGCUCAAAAUAGUUGAGUGAUGAAUGAGAAAUUAAUACUCAAAGUAAGUUACUUGUGAGUAUUUGUUGAGGAAAAGAGAAGUUUAGAUCCCACAUUGGUUAAAUAUAAGUGUAAGAUUUGUCUAUAUAUGAAAACCCACUUGAAAAAUAAUUUAAUGAUUAAAUUUGAAAUCUUGCCUCGCACCCAAGAUGGGGGUGCAAAUCUAAAUCCAUUGGGAUUGGGGACACUUAUACGACAUGAAAUGUUGGGCUUAAAAUGAGCCUACGAAUAUUUUAGCCCAACACAAAAUUUAUUUUUUUUCUCAACAAAUAUACAUAAUUUAUUUUAAAAGUACAUAUAUCUUGAUUUUAUUUGAUUCCAAUGAAUUUGAUUUGAUUUUAUUCAAAUUAAUUUUAAAUGCUCAUUAAAUGUAAAUUUUGUAUCUUUAUUCAUGGAAUUUUUCAAAAUUCCACCAUAUUGAAUGUCUAAAAAAGCUUAAAGAAUUCUUCAGAAUUUUUUACACACACAACAAAUUUAUUUUACUCUUGAAAAUUCUUCUCUUUUUUUCUCUCCAUAUUUUCCAACGUUUCAGUGAUACAAUAAAGUAAGGUCUGUUUGUUGAUCACUGCAGAAGUGUUAUUGCUUCGAUUAUCUUGUUGUUGUAUCCUAAGAGAUAGUCGACCAACGUUUCUCCAAGUAUCAUAAGAGCAGUCAAAUCUAUCUUAAGGAAACUAUGUAAAACAUGUCUUAAUAUCUAGUAAAACUCAAUUAUUUUAUUCGAUUUCUGGUUUUCAAUCUUAUUUAUUUAAUUGAUUUUUCAUAUUUGAUAUUUUAAAUAUAAAUAUUUAUUUUAUUUUUAUAUAAAUAUUUAUUUAUAUUUAUAUUUAUAUUUGUUCGCUAACGUGUUUUGUCCAACAAUCUUAAGACAGAUUUUAUUAUUUUACAAUUCUCUAAUUUUAGACAAACUAGACACCAAGACGAAAAGAAAAAAAAAUUGUUGUAUUUUAUUUGAGAAUAAAAAAUUAAAAUUGAAUAAAUUUUGUUUCAGGAUUUAUUCCCGUCGUUUAAUAUAUUUUAUUCUAUUUUGAUUUUGUUUCCAAUUCAGAAUUAAAAUUAAAUAAUUCUAUUUGGGAAUUUAUUCAUGACGCUUAACAGAUUUUAUUCCAUUUUGAUUUUGUUUUCGAAUGAGAAUUAAAAAUUAAAUAAAAUUUAUUUUGAAAUUUAUUCCCGCCAUUUAACAGAUUUUAUUUGAUUUUGAUUUUGUUUCUCAUUUGAAAAAAGUAAAAAUUCUCGUUUAAAAACAAAAUCAAAAUGGAAUAAAAUCGGUUAAACAACGAAAAUAAAUUCCUAAAUAGAUUUUAUUUAAUUUUAAUUCUCGUUUGGAAACAAAAUCAAAAAGGAAAAAAAAUCUAUUAAACGGUAUGAAUAAAUUCCAAAACAGAUUUUAUUCAAUUUUAAUUUUUUUAUUCUCAAAUAAAAUACAACAAUUUUUUUCUUUUCGCCUUGGUCUCUCAUUCAUCUCGGAUUAAAGAAUUGUAAAAUAAUAAAAUAUGUCUUAAAAUUGUUGGACAAAAUACGUUAAUGAAUAAAUAUAAAUAUAAAUAAACAAAUAUUUAUAUUUAUAUUUAAAAUAUUAUAUAUGAAAAUUAAUUAAAUAAAUAAGAUUAUAAAAACUAAAAAUCAAAUAAAAUAAUGGAAUUGAAUUAGAGAACUCAUUCCAUCCAAAUUGUAAGUGAAAAUAUCGCUACAAAAUAUUUUUUCCUGAGCUUGUCUAUGCAUCAUUCUAGUUUACAACAAUUCAAAGAGUGCAACAUACAAAUUGUUCAGUUCAAGUAAAAACAUUGUACUUUGAAAAUUAUAUUUCUUAAUUGUUUUGCAUACGAAAGGGAAAUAAUUAUUCUCAAAAAAAAUUCUAGAGACAACCUUCGGUGAAUGUAGGGGUAUGCAUUCAGUUGGUAUGGUUUUUUAUAUCGAAAAUCGAAUAAAUAGAAUUAUUCAUGUAAAAUUGUAAAUCGAAUAUUUUUAAUUCGAUUUAAUUUGGUUUUUAAGUUUUUUUUUAUGUUGUUUGAGUUGGACAAAAAAUAUUUUCUAAUUGAGGUACGUAUUUUAUUUCCUUUAAAUUUCUUUUCACAUAAUUGGCUUCUUUCUUCCACUUUAAUUUUAGUCCUUUUAGAUUUUUUAUGGUAUCCCUUCUGUUUCUUUAGAAUUUUUAUCGUAUCACUUUUAAAUUAUUUUUUAGGGAAAAAGUCAUAGAAUAGAUGACUUGAACUGAGCAUUUGAAACCAUGAUUUCAAAUAAUAAUAAAAAAUUGAUAAAGCUCGAAGUUUUUCAAAUCAAAUAUUGAUUUUAAACUUGGAUUUUAACUCAAGCCAAAAUUUUUAGCUUUUGGAAAAUAUUUUUUAAUGAAUUUAUAUUUUUAUCCCCUCAUUAAAUAUUUUAUUUUAUAACUUUAUGUUUAAAAUAGAUAUUUUAUAUUCUCAUAAGCACUUUUUGACAAUAACGGUAAAUACUAUUAAAAAAACACCUUUUCAUGGUAUUUUUUAACCUUAAUGUGUUUAGCUUUUAAGUUUUUUUAUAUUGAUAAAAUGAAUAUCAUAAAAAAAUUAUCAUUUCAAAUUGGGUUUUAAAUUUAAUUGGGUAUUGAGUUGUAAAGUUUUAAUGGGUUUCGGCUUUUAAGAAUAUUAAAUUUUAAUGUAUAUUUAAGCUUAAGAUUUAAAUUUGGAUUUAAGUAUAUAAAUAAGUUAUGGUCUUAUGGGUUUAAUAGCUAAAAUUUUAAUCGAUUUAUUAGAUUUAAAAAUAUCAAAACAGAAAAUCAAUCGAAUAAACUAAUUAAACUAAACUUUAAAAUCGGUUAAAUAAAAAAAUUGAAAAAAAAUCGAAUUUUCAUUUCAGUUCACUUUAAUUUUUUAAAUUUUUUAAAAAAAAAUGUACACCCUAAGUGAAUGUAGCUAAUGCCUUUUUUUUUUUUGUAUGAAUCACCUUCUUUAAUAUAUGAAAAUUUUUGUUUUUGUUUUAUUUUUGGUGAAAACAAAACGAAGUUAUUACAUAAGCCUAAUCAAAUCUAAAGGAGUUUCUUCAAUUAACUGAACAGUCUCAUUCUUGUCAAAAGUCAUCUUAAUAAUAUAAUCUGCUUCUAAAUUGUUUUUGCUUCUUUCUUUUGGCAUGAGUAGACAUGAAAAUUAAGGUUUCUAAAAGAAGAAACGUUGAUCUCAUUACUCAAGUUAGACCUGCCCAUGGGUUGAGCCACCGGGUCCGACUCGAAGGCCUGCUCGAAAAUUGAGAGGAUUUGAAAAAAAAUAUAUGCCGAAAAAUGGGCUUGUGCAAAAAAAAAGACCCGUUUAGAAAACGGGUCAAGCCUUGGGUAAGACAUUUUUGGUCCAAGCUCGGCCCAGCCCGAAUUCACAAAAGGAUAAAAAAAUGUUUUUUUUUUGUUUUAGUAUUAUUUUCUUGUUAUUUUCUCCCUAUUUUACUACCAUUUUACUAUUAUAUUACUACUAUUUUAUUGUUAUUGUUUUUUUUUUAAAUUGCAACUGAGAUAUAAUAAAAGAGCCAAAUAGGCUUAGUAGUCCAGUUAAGCAGACCUAAAACAAAACUAAUAAAAAUAGAACAGGCCUCCAACGUAUUGGCCCAUAAUUCAAAAAAAUAAACUGAAAAAAGAAAUGACCCUAAUAAAAUAAGAAAAUACAAAUAAAGAAAAUAAUGCUUCUAGAAAUCUCAGUUGAUCAGAAACAGCUGGCCUCCAUUAUCUUUUCAUUUCCCAUCACCGAUCCAGCCAUUAAUAGUAGCAGAUUUCCCCAAAUCUUUUUGCCGUUUGCUACUCCUUCCAACAGUCACCUCUUUGCUCUUAAUCUUAAUAUCUUGGAUUUAUCCUCUCCGCUGCUUGUUGGACGGUAUUCGGAAUCGCCCCAGCCAGGUAAUGUUCUUCUCCCUUCUUUAAAGCUUCUAUUGCAACCAAAUGGGCAAAAAUAUUAUCAGUUCUCGGAAUAUAACAAAAACAGAUACUAUUAAAAUUGGUUUUAAUCUCUUGAAUAUCUUUGAUGAUUGCUCCGAUGAUCGAUCUGUCUUGUUCUGAACUUUGACACUUUUUGAUAAUCAUUUUCGAAUCUCCCAUUAUUUGUAAAUCUUUAAGCCCCAUAGAUCUUCCUAACUCUAAAGCUUGUAACCCUACAUGUGCUUCUGCCGCGAAUGGAGUUGCAAUGUUGGUAUGGAUAUUGUAUAACAUUUGUUUUAUUGUUAAAUUUGUUAUUAUUUUAGAGGCAUUUGCUUGUUAAGUUAUAUCUAGUUUACUGUUAUUUAAGUAUACAUAUUUUUUAAAAUUUAUUUUUAAUUUGUUGAAAAAUAUUUAUUUUAAUGUUUUUAGUAUUUUUUAUAUAAUAUAUAUUUAAAAAAUAAAUAAAAAUAUAAAAAAUACCUACGGGCUGAGUUCAAAUUUUAGUAUUUUUAUGCAGACCGGGCUUUGACAAAAUUUUAAGCCCAUUUUUUAGCCGGACCUAAACCUAACGAACAUACCUAAAUUUUUUAUUGAGCCCUUCCCGAAUCCAAACUCGCAAUAACCACCUCUAACUCAAGCCAGGCCUUACAAAAUCAUUGCAAUAGUGAGCUGGUUUUAUUUAUAAAAAUCAUUUUGAAUCAAAUUCACAAUUAAAAAAUAAAUACAGAGGAGCAGUGACUUUUGAAUUUGUUGGUCGGAUUUUCAUCCUCAAUUCUAUCUUCUUGGCUCAUUCCUAAAAAAUAAAUAAUAAAGAAUUUUUUUUUGCAAAUUAUUACACUCGAUUGGUUAAGGACUACAUAUAAUUAAGAAUCAUUUUUUGAAAAAGACAAAAUUAUCACUUCAUCAUAGAUGUAGUCAGACAAUCUUUACAUAUAAAUAAUGAUGUAAUCUGCACAAACCAAUUUUGAAUCCUUUCGUUCCUCGUCAAAACACUAUCCAUACCCUUGUUUAAAGAAAAGUGUUGAGCAGGGAGGUAGGCAAAAAUGGAAGUCUAUUAAAAUUUUUAAAAUUUUAAAUUAGUUACACUUUAAUUCAUUUAAAAAUGAUAAAAAUUUAAUUUAAUUCUUUAAAAUUAUAAAUAUAUAAAAUAUUAAAAUAAUAAAAAUCUCAAAAAUUAUAAUUUAAUUUUCAUCCACUAAAAAGAUGUUGAGGGAAAAAUAUGCUCUCACAUUGGUUAAUUAAGGAUUAUAAAUAUAUAUUAAAAGAAUUCUCUUUCAUUCCCAUUAUUACGUGCAUGCAUCGAUUCAUUAGGUUGUCUGUGACCAUUUUUUUGUUUAAAGGAAGCAAGGUAUAUAAUUAUUAUUUUUAUUAAUUAUUCCAUAUAACAUAAAUAAGUAGAAUUCUUUAGAAGUUGAGAUAUCUAUAAUGUAAUAUAAAUAUUGGUGGUACCAUAUGAACUUCAAAUGAGAAAGAGGGAAAGUAGGAUCAAAUUCUUUCAUUAUUACACCAAUAAACCUUAUUAUUUACGAGCAUGGACAAACAAUGGUUAUCUACAGAAAAUACAAACAUCAUUAUGAAAUUACAAUUGCAGAAAUCCCAGAGAUAUAAAAUAAAUAGUAAGAUAAGAAAUAAUAAUGCAGUCCUCCUCCUGAAUUAAACUAAAACAUGGUAAACCAACCUAAUGAAUGUUAUAUUAGGACAAAACAUUGAGUUUUAGGUGUGCCAUAAAGAUAGGAUAAUUAUUUGGUUCAUUCAGCUUUUUAUUGCAUAACCUAAGAAAAAGCUUAUGCACACUGAAUUAAUGAAAUAUAAUGCAAGUUUUAUUACAUUAACCACUUUCCACACAUUUCUUACAUUCUUUAUGCUAAUAAAACAUGGUAAAUUGGACAAAGAAUAUAAUAAAAGAAAGGCAGGAUGGGUAGGUAGAGGAGGCUAAACUGUGAACUCAUUAGAGAGAGGGAUAAAAACAGAUAAUCAAUUAUUUAAUACAUGUGGGUCGGACCAGGAGUGCUUGAUUCCCCUUUGCAUGGAUGAAUGAUAUUGAUCACCAAUAUUCCAUGUUCAAACAAAUAUUGCAACCUUCUUCACUGAACAAACAGUUGGCUCUCGUUCUUAUAAACGAAACAGAAACUUAACCUGAAAUCCUGCAUGGAUGCAACCCGCAAGAAUGAUGAUGAGAAGUGAAAAACACCCAUUUGAUUAUAGGGAGUUUACAUGCUAGAAAGUAUGAUUAAGAUGAUGAUGAUGAAGAAACCAGAGAAAAGUAUAAAUAGGGAUAGGUAAAGGGGGGGGGGGGGAGGUAAAGCUUUUGAGGUGAGUGGGCGAGGCCUGAAAUAUGAUUUGCCGUGCAACAGCACCACUGCUGUGCUGUAGAGUUGAGGAAGCUUAGUGUAGACGUAUGUAGAAAGGCUAAUCUUAGAUUCCCGCAUGCACACGCAUGUGCACGUUACUCUUUUACUCAUGACUCAAAUUGUGGGGGGCAUUCUUUUGUUUUGAUAUUCCCACUAUAUCCACAAAUUAAGAAAAAGAAAACACAGACAGUGAAAAGUAAUAUUGGCUUCUUAAUUUUCAUGUUUUGCUGAAAAAAUCCACUUAAGUUUACAAAUUGUGUUGCCGAUGACCUUAAAGAUACAUGCACUCUGUUCAAUGCCAAUGGUAUUUAUAUGUGAUUCACAUGAUUAUAACUAAGCAUACCAUAAUUCAUAUAUAUAUAUUUUUGUUGAUUAUAUAUAACUAAUCAUUUCAAGGGGGCUUUUUAAGAGAAAAAGAAAAUUGUAUACAGGUUAGUUGGCAGUGGGCACGCCGGUGACAAAGGGGAGGUGGACGUUACAAUCUUGGCGUGGAAGAGAGUGGGUCCAAUUGUAACUGACAGGACAGAACAGAACAGUACAGGAGAUGGCGUUAAGAAUAAGCAUUUUAUUUAUUGUUUUCUUUCUAAGGAUUGCCUCUCCUCAGCUCCCCUAUUUUUGUCUUAAUUUGCAUGUAUGCAUGAAUGUCAAUGUUAUCCCAAUCCAACCAAGUUUAGAGUUGUAGCACAACCUCACCCGUACUAUUUUAAUAUAUAUAUAUGUAUAACACGAUAUCACAUCAUCUAUAAACAUCCACAACCAAUAAAAUAAAAUAAAAAAUCAUAAAUGAACGUGCCCGUCUGUAGCCAAAUUCUGAUAUAAAAAUUACUAAAUGCAAAGGGGAUCCAAAAUUUAUGGGGUGCCAUUUAGGCCAGUGCGUACUACAAAGCAUACAC
rnacentral:lncRNA from 1 species